CCAUUCCUCCCACACUGAUAUCUCCUUGAACACCAGAGUCUGCAGGCUUCCAAAUGGCUUAAAUGAAGAAGGCCCAUUCCCAUAAAACUCCUGCCCCACCUUUUGCAGAACAUCAUUCUUCACAAUGGAGAGGUUCUGGAGAGACCGUAGCUGUCCAAGAGGUGGCAAGGAUGCACAAUUUUUACAGUUAGAGAGUUGUAGACGCACCAUGUUGAUGAAUGAAGGUUCCCCUAACCAGCUUGGAAAUUUUGCACCAUAGUAGCAUCCAAUGGAGAGUUCUUUCAGGUUGCUAUGAGGCUGCAGCUUUUCCAGCACACUUGCUGCAUCAUGUGAAUCACCGGCAAUUGCAUUAUCAUCUUCCCAAUUCAAUUCUAACUUGUCAAGGCACUCCUUACCCUUCAUAUUACUCUCCAAGGCAUCUCUAGCAUCUGCCACAUUUUGCAACUUGAAAAUGGCAAGUGUACCAGUAAGGUGUGAAAGGUCCCUCAAUUCCCCAACUCUUGAUCCUGUAUGCUUACCGACAACAAAAGCAGUCAACGUUCGAAGAUUUUUCAUUCUACUCAUUUCCAUUGGCAUCCUUUCUAGCUUAAUCCCAUCAAUUUUGAGAUGACGCAAGUUGAUUAGUCUUCCCAUUUUUGUUGGCAAAUCAACAAGAAAUCUACACUCUGAUAGCAUCAACGUUUGCAAGUUGAAAAGAGUAGUUAUUGAUUCAGGUAGUGUUCUAAUUCGAGUAUGAGAGAGGUCCAGAUAGCGUAGGUGUUUCAAAUUUUCAAUCGAGUGGGGCAAUUCUUUAAUGUCAUAGUGACUCAAAGACAAAACCCGCAAACACCUCAAUGUUGACAACAAACAAUGUGAGAUCUCCUUGCUUAAAUAGAGAGUGGACAAUAAAUUAGAAUAAAGAGGUAGUGGUAAGAAGGUCCGAAGAUUAUAGAUGUUAAGAAAUAAUUUAGCUUCCUUGAAGACUUUGAAAUGUUGCCAAGUAUACGAAGAAUGUCGAAUCUCCUUAGAAAUUUGAUUUUGUUGUUCAACCUCCAAUCUAAAACAAAAUUUUCCUGAUGUAAAUUGUGCCAAAUCAUGAAUCAGAUCAUGCAUCACAAAUUGAGAAUCAUUGUUAUCGUAUUGUUGAAAGAACGACCUUAACAGUAGACUAUUGAAACAUUUCCUCCCAAACUGUUCUAUAGUUUCCCCUCUUUUGGAGCCAUCUAAGAAGCCUUCAGCCAUCCAUAAUAAUACUAACUUCUCCCUUUCAAACACAUAGUCCUUGGGGAAUAUGGAACAAUACGCAAAACAUCGCUUCAAUGUUGUAGGGAGAUAAUGAUAACUCAAGUUCAAAGCAGGAAGAAUACUACUUUGCUCAUUUGACAAAUCCCAUAUUUCAUUGUUUAACACUUCAUUCCAAGCCGUGAUAUCUUGGUUAGAGUGUAAUAAACCUCCAAGUGUCUUCGCCACCAAAGGUAGACCUUUGCAUUUUUUGGCUAUCUUCCUACCGGUUGAUUCCAAAUUUUGGCAUUCAUUUGAAUCUAGAUUUGUAAGGGCUGUUUGUGCGAACAAUAACCAACAUUGUUCUUCAGCUAAUUGACCGAGCUGAUGAGAAGAAGUUGUCGUUCGCAUAAUUGCCGCCACAGUUUCAUUGCGAGUUGUUACUAAGACCACGCUGCCUCGUGCUGCGACAUUAAAAGGAGCUUGUAGGAGAUCCCAACGGGGAGUUUUCUCGUUCCAUACGUCAUCUAGAACAAGGAGAAAUCUUUUAUCCUUCAUUUCAUUCUUCAAUUUUUCUUGAAGCGAUUCCAAGGUUUUAAAUUCACAUGGACAUUUUGUGAUGGACUCAAGAAUUGCUUUAGUUAUCCCUACAACAUCAAAAUCGUCCGAAACACAAACCCAAACUCUCUUUUCAAAAUGGUUCUCCACCCUGCCGUCAUUGUAGAUGAUCUGAGCGAGGGUUGUCUUGCCAAUCCCACCCAUGCCGACUAUGGAAAUGACAGAAACUUUAUCGACCUGGGUUGCUUCAUCUGACAGCAUCAAUUCAAUGAUCUUCUCCUUAUCAGCAUCCCUACCAUGAAUACGAGACUCAUCUACUAAAGAAGUAGUCGGUAGCCUUUCUUCAAUUCCAAAGGACACCCCUCCAACACCCUCCCUCAGAUGAAGGUCAAGUCUCCGUUUGGCAAUUGCAUCUAACUCCCUUGUGAUUUUGUUUAUUUUUUCACCCAUCUUUUUGUUAAAGGACAUAGCUCUAGGAUCCAAAGCACCAAAAGUUGGGAUGAGCUUGCGUACCUUACUUGUGCUGGCUUGAGGGCCUUCUGUCAAACUCCUUUGCUUGGCUUCAGUAUCAAACUCAUCCACCACAUCUUCAAUGUCAUAAGCCAAAGAUUUGAGGUCAUCCAGCCAAACUUUCACUGCUUUCUCCCUGAUCUGCUUGUUCUCAGCAUCAUCCACCACUGCUUCAAUAUGGGUCAACGUCUUCCUCCAUUCUUCGAGUGUUCUGUCGACUUUUUUCCGGCGAGCGUACUCUAACAGGGGGGAGGCGAUCAACUUGUCAAUCAACACACCAAUGAAGGAAGAUCCAACAGCCUCAGCCACAAACAUGCUUUCAGAAAAUGCGAGAGAGCAAAAGAGAUAGGAGAAGGUAAAGUUUCCACAGAUUGUAAGAUCGUUGUUGUGGUGACCCUUUCAACUCACAAGAAGAUAAGGACACAAACACUCACUAUACAAAAUUAAAAAGAAAAAGAAAAUAAGAGAAGGGUCAUCUUAUUCUACAGGGAAGGGCAAUUCUAUCCUACUGUAAAGGGUUUUUGGCUUUGGCUUUGGCUUUGGCUUUGGCUAUGUAUCAUACAGAGCAGUUAAAGAGGGAUUUUGAAGGGCAAUUCAUGCGACUCUUUGACCCCUUGAAAUUAUUUUUGGAAGUGUUGAAAUAUCAAAAUCCCAUAAUUCAGAUAAAUUUAUUUUCAUCUAAAUUUCAUAUGUUUGUAGUUAUUUUAUUGCUUAAAGUGUUUAGGUAUCGGUAUUAGAUCGAAGAUCGAAGAAUGAAAGAAAAUGAUAUCAUGUUAAUUUUAUUUAGUUUUUUAUGUUUUUAUUUUGUUUUUAAAAAUUGCUGACAACAAUUUCUAUUUGUUGUCUAAAAACAGUACUUUUUAUUUACUUUUUUAUUUUUUUAUUUCACUUUGUUUUUAGAGAAUCAAUGAUUAAAUCAUAUUAGGAAUUUUAAAAAUAGUUUCUUAUUUUUAAAAACAAAAAAAUGUUUUGAAAUCACACAACUAGAUAGAUUCUAAUAGUUUUUAAAACUAUUUAAAAAAAUUUUGAUACCCUUUUAAAAGUGAUUUAAAAAAAAUAGAAAAAUGGGAAGCCUAUCUAAUAUUAGGAGGCAACCCUUGGAUUCCUGUAAAUGAAAAUUUAAUUCAACCUAUCUAAAAAAAAAUAACAAUAAGAAUUAAAAGAAGAAAUAAUUUAUGAAAGGAAAUGGAUAAAUAAUGCUAGAUUCAUGAGUGGCAAGAAUAUGAUCCACAUGUCACAAAGAUUAAUAGAAAAGGAAACUACAAAAUCUGAUUAAAAAAAAAAAAAAAAAAAGAGUGUUGAAGAGCUAUUACUAGUAUGUGAAUACUUUUUAAAGUUAAACAUGAGAUAGAACUAUAGUGGUAAAGAAAUAGAGCUAUCACUAGUCCUUCAUCAUGUUUUAAGAGUUGCAACACAUUGAAAAUAGAAUCAUCCCCUCCCCCUCCUGUCCUUUUUUUUUUUUUUUUUUUUUUUUGUUGAAUUAAUUGAUUAAAAGGAUAAAAAGAUUUCAAAUUUAUAAAUUUAACAUUUCUCAGUUUUGAACUUAAAGAGUAAUCCAUUUUAGACAUAGAUACUUUCCAAUAUUUCAAUUAUUUACAUGUGUUUUAAAAGAAAAGAUUAUUUUUACAAGAAAAAAGUGAGACAAUUUUUAUCUAAAAUAAGUAUUUUUCAGGAUGGAAAAAAGUGGAGGGUUGGUUUUACAAAUUAGGGAUGAUUUCAUCCAUUUUAAAUCGAGUAUGCUAGAAUUUUUGCAUCUCUUUAAAUCUUAUACCCACUUGGAAUAAAUAAUCUAGACCUUAAACUUAUGCUUAGUUCCUAAAAAGCACAGGAAAGAAAAAAAAAUUAUUAAGGAAAAUGAUUUUCUUAUAUUUGGAUAUAUUAUGAAAUAUAUAUAUAUAUAUAUAUCAAAUAUAAUUAAAACUGGGUAGUAAUUUAUACGUUUUCAAAUUAUUUAAUCUUUAUAUUGAAAAAUUAAAUUAAGUAAAAUGAGUUUGAAAUAGUAUAUAAAAAUAGUUUAUUGACUUCACAUCUAUUUUUUAUUUUAUUUUCUCCUACUUUUCUUCUCUAUUUUCACUCCUACAUUUUCCUUAAGGCUAUGUUUGGUUUUCUAAAAGUUUGAAAGAAAAUAGAGAGGAAAAGUAAAAAAAAAAAAAUAAAAAAAAAAUUGAAGGAAAAUAAAAAAUAGAUUUAAAGUAAAUAAAUUAUUUUUAUAUACUACUUUAAAUUUUUUAUUUAACUCUUUUAUAUAAAAAUUAAAUAAUUUAAAAAUAUACAAAUAUCUUAAUAAUUUUAAUUAUAUUUAAUUUUUUUUCUUAUUUUUAAUGAGAAAACCAAAUAUGGGAAAAUAAUUUUUUUUAGCAUUUUUUUUUAUUUCCUUAGUACUUUAUGAGAACUAAACAUAGCCUAAAUUUUCUAGCAACCCACAUGACCUAAUAUUUUGAACUUCCAAGUGAAGAUGUUUCUUGUAAAUAUCCUAUAUAUAGGUUUUAGUAAAGAUAUCUAGAUCAACUACUCACUUAAUUACUUUGGAGAUAUUUGGGAUCCCAUUUAGACAGUGUUGGUCAAUGCUCAAGACACUAUUGGAACAUUUUAUGUUUUUAUGUUUAUUUUUCUUAUAUGUGAAAGUGGAUGAUUUUUUAUUUUUUAUUUAUUUUUUGUGAUUGUAAGCAAAAAGCGAUUUGUUCACCAAUAUAAAAUUAUUUUUAGUAUCACCAAUAGUAAAAAAAGAAAGAAAAAAGUUAAAUUGGAAACUUAUAAAAUAAAGUCAAUAACAUUAUUAUUUGAAAAAAUGGUAUACAAUAAUUAAAUAAAUCAAUAAAAAGAAAAUAGAUUUUCUUGGUUUCCUCUCUACACUAGAAUGAGAAUUCUUGAACAUGAAAAUAAAUGAUUAGCAUAUGAUAUUAUAAAUGUUAUUUUGCCAUCUAUUAUUUCUUUUUGAAUUGAGAAACUCAUCAUAGUAAAGACUUUCACACAUAAUUUACUAUCUUUUUAUAUACAAAUUGACAAAUACUACCCAUAGCAAACUCACUCACUAUAAAUGAUUUGUUGAUAGUUUACCAUGACUACAUCAUUCUAGAACUCCAAACGUCCUAACCACACCUUUAAGCACAACAUAGAAACAUAUAUAUUACUAUCAUAUAAUUAUUGUUUUUGGAAGGUAAUCUCUACCAAGGUGCUAGUGGAUCUGCAUUUGCAUUGAUUCUUCCUAGUAACUCAAAGAUUGUUUUUCCAAGGAUUUUGGGAUAUUGAUAGGGCUAGUAGUGUAGAUAGAAAAUCUAUUAGCGUUUUUUGCAUUUAUCUUAGAGGCAACUUGAAACAUUGGAGCUCAAGAAAACAGAAAGUGCUAGCAUAGAAUCUAAAUAUCGAUCCUUGGCCCAAGUUGCAAGAAAGGUUACUUAGCUUUAGUCCUUAUUCAUCAAAGAGUUAGGAAUUAAAAUUGAUGAUACUCUAAAAAUGUGGUGUGAUAAUUCUAGAGUAGGUUUCUUAACUUCAAAUCUAGUGUUCCAUGUGAGAACUGAGAAUAUCGAAAUUGAUGUCUAUCUCAUACAACUAUAAAAGAGAAAUUCAUGGCAAAGGAACUAAACAUGCAAUACAUUCCAAUGGAGAAACAAAUAGCAAACAAACUAACCAAACCUUUCUUAGCUACAUGUUUUGAAAUACUUAAGGACAAGCUUACUAUGGUACAAUCCAUUUGGAAAUCAAGUAAAAAAGAUUUUUCAAUUCUAGUUUAACAAAACAAAAUAAAUCCAUAGAUACUCACCUUAUGCCAUUGUGAGAAAGAUAACUUUACAUAGAUUAUUUAUGAAAUUGCAUCACUUUAAGCAACACCUUGUCACUUUGUAUUGGUAUUGACACCUUGUAUUUACCUCUCCUUAUUAUUUAUAAUGCUUGCAAAAAUGAUGAGAAUCUUCACAAACUUAAAACUUUAAGCAAGAGCCCUUUUAUAUAAUUUCAAGUGACCUUACCCAUCAAGAGUCACACAUGAUUACUUCCUACUAGAUUAUAUUAAUCUACCUCUUCUAAUCCUAUGUAAUAUGGAAUUUUAGUGCACAAUAAUUUCGACAUUCUCACACAUUGGGCAAAUAACCACAUAGGGACUUGAAACUUUUAUGGAUUUACUAAAUGGCCAUAUAAAAAUAAUGCUAUCAGUACAUGCUAAUCUAACAAAGUUUUCAAUAUGGAUCAUGAUGGUAACAUAUCAUUAAUUUUAUCAGAUAUAAUUCAUUCUAUGCAUCACACAAUUGGUUACUCAAUUUAGAGAACCUAAAUGAGGAAGUAAUAACCUAUAAACAUCUAAUAAAUGGUCUUGACUUUUAUUUAAAAUUUUUGACAAUUCUAUUAAUCAUUAUUCCAAAAAAUGUACACGAGGGAGCAUGAAAUUUUAUUAUUGUAUGUUUAAAACAAUUCUACGACAUCCGUAAAACCCAUAGAGUAAAUAUGUUCCUUAAACUUCUUAGGCACCAAAGCUUUUGUAAAAGGAUUUAUCAUAUUGUGGACCCCGCAUUUUCGGCUCAUGCGCUUCCCACUCGAUGGUGAGCUCGAUUUUUACUUGAAAAAUUGAUUUGUUGAUUAAAAAUGACUUGGAGUCGUCACUUAUUUUUGUUUUAUAUUUAAAAGGGUAAACAAAAUAAGAAAGAAAACCCUAAGUGUGACUCCUUGUUUUGGAAAAGGUGGUCUGUGAAAAACCAGAUCGGGCUCGGGGGUCAAGUUACUUAUCGGGAAGGUACGGUACGGACCGUAGCACCCCUCUAAGUCCCUAAAGUCAGGUCUCUACUGUUAGGAUGAAGUCGUCGUGGCAAUCAAUAAGUAAGUCAAUGGAUGCCUAAGUCAAAUCAUGCACAUAUGAAAAUCGGAACAUGCAUAGAGAAUGAUCAAAACGAAAUGGUAUGCAUACCUGGGCCACGAGUCACAAUGCGCUAUCAAGAAACGAGAUUAGUACACAAUUAACGAAUACAAAUUAUAGCUUAUGCAUAUCGGAGUGCAAAAUGAAGAUCAAGCAAAAUCUAUUAAGCACAACAGUUGACAGUCAAUAGGGAUCAAACAUAGGCCCCCCCCCUACCAAAGCCCGAUUUAUUGCCUACGAACUAAUCUCACAAAUCCCGUGUUUUAGAAUUAUGAAGGAAUCAUUAUUGCUUAUGUAAAAUCAAGAAGACCAAAAGAUUAUUUAGGAACUGAAAUAGGAUUAAAACUAUUUGAGUGAAAAUUGGAUUAUUGGAGUUUAUUUGAAAAUUGGAGUACUUGGAAUUAAAUUUAAAAGAUUAGAGCUCCGGUAAUUAAAUUGAAAUUUGUUAAAGAAAAUGAGAAACGAACUUUAAGAAAUUGAACUGCAAGACCAUAGACUUUUGAAAGUUGAAUUUGUAAUAAUAAUAAUAAUAAGAUUUUGAAAGUUUGAAUUAAUGAUAGUAAUAAUAAUAAUAAUAACAAUAAGAUUUUGAAAGUUUGAAUUAAUAGUAAUAAUAAUAAGGUUUUGAAAGUGUGAAUUAAUAAUAAUAAUAAUAAUAAGAUUUUGAGAGUUUGAAUUAAUGAUAAUAAUAAUAAUAAUAGGAUUUUGAAAGUUUGAAUUAAUAAUAAUAAUAAUAAUAAGGUUUUGAAAGUUUGAAUUAAUAAUAAUAAUAAUAAUAAGAGUUUGAAAGUUUGAAUUAAUAAUAAUAAUAAUAAUAUUAUUAUUAAUAAAAUUUCGAGAGUUCUAAUUAAUGAUAAUAAUAAUAAUAAUAAUAAGAUUUCAAAAGUUUGAAUUAAUAAUAAUAAUAAUAAUAAUAAUAAUAAUAAUAAUAAUAAUAAGGUUUUGAAAGUGUGAAUUAAUAAUAAUAAUAAUAAUAAUAAUAAUAAGAUUUCGAAAGUUUGAAUUAAUAAUAAUAAUAAUAGGAUUUUGAAAGUUUGAAUUAAUAAUAAUAAUAAUAAUAAGGUUUUGAAAGUUUGAAUUAAUAAUAAUAAUAAUAAUAAUAAUAAUAAGAUUUUGAGAGUUUGAAUCAAUAAUAAUAAUAAUAAUAAUAUUAAUAAGAUUUCGAGAGUUCUAAUUAAUGAUAAUAAUAAUAAUAAUAAGAUUUCGAAAGUUUGAAUUAAUAAUAAUAAUAAUAAUAAUAAGGUUUUGAAAGUGUGAAUUAAUAAUAAUAAUAAUAAUAAUAACAAUAAUAAGAUUUGGAAAAUUGAAUUAAUAAUAAUAAUGACUAUGGUAAUAAUAAUAAUAAUAGUAAUAAUAAUAAUAAUAAUAAUAAUAGUUAAUAAUAAUAAUAAUAAUAAUAAUAGUGAUAAUAUCAUAAACCCAAGUCCAUAAGCCCAAACCCACGUCCAACAUUAAAAAAAAACUCAAUCCAUAAGCCCAAGCCCACGUCCAAUCAUUAAAAAGAGCUCUGGGCUCCAUCUCCACCCAGCCCAAACUAGCAUAAUAAUAAUAAUAAUGGGGCUUUGGGCUCCAUCUUCAGCAUAGGCUUGGGCUUGGGCUCCAAAUUCAAACUCAAGCCCAAAGCCCAAACCAAACACAAAAUUGGGCCUAGCCUUAACCCAAGCCCAAAAACCAAAACUUCAUCUUCUUCCUAGCUUCCCCCCCCCCCCACGUCCGGCUGCUACACCUUUGCCACCUCCCCGCGGCGGCAGCGGCGACGGUGCCCGAGGUCAUGGAUUCUCCAGGCUUGGUGGACAGCUCCUGGGCCUCGGUGGCGCGAGAACAACUCCUGGAGGAUCUCGCCCUUCCAGGCGAAGACGGCGGCGCUGUCGCGGGCUAUGGCAGCGGCGGCGUGGUCCUGGAGCAAUAGUGCGACGCAUUGCAUUGGGAAAUCAGUGUCACAGAAAGCAAUAGUUGGAGUGUUUCCUAGUGCAGCUUCCUUAAUAGGCUGGUGAUGGAGAGUGAUCUUGAUGGAGGGGUUGGGAAAAGGUUGGAGAGAUGGGUGAGCGUGAAGGUUAGAAAAAAGGGAUAUGGGCAGUUGAUAAAUGGGUGUGAAAGUCUAGAGAGAAAUGGGUGAUUGAAUGAUGGGUAUGAAGGUGUGGUUCAAAGGUGACGAAAUGGAGUGGGCUGGUGGGUAUUAAAGGAAAUGGCAAUGAGAUCAGCAGCAACAGGGCAUAAAAGAAAGGUCCGAAAAUCAACAACAUACAGCAUAUAAUCCAUAUUUUCCCAACCCAAAUCGACGAGCAACGUGGAGCAAACCAAAUAGGAAAUAAAUGAGAAAUAUAUCAAUCAAAAUAAGCAAGGAAUUUACCUCAAACUCACCUGCAACCACUCUCUUUUUCUCCGUUAUCUCCUUGUAAUCAGACUGUCACUCCCAGAAGAACGGGCUCCUCAAGCAACUGAAUAAACUCCCUUUGUGACUCUCAGAAGAAGAAUCCCAUCCAAAGCUGCCCCUCCUUCCCUUCCUUCAAGCUUUUUUCUCUCUUUUGUUUGUGUCUUCCUCAGCAAGCCAUCCUGCCUGUUGCUACACGUCCCAUCUGGUGACUACCCCCCAUCCUCUCUAGCUGCCCGAGAGCAGCCCACUUGAGAAACAACAAAAAAUAAUAAUAAUAAAAAGCUCAAGCUCCUGGGGGUCUACACAUAUCUAUACCAAUGUGUUUGAUGGACAUCUUUUGAAACUAGACUCUUUCUCUAACCACAUGGUGCUUCAACUCAAUAUGUUUUGACUUAGUAGAGAAUUUUCUUGUAGAAAAGAAAACUAUUGUAGAAUUAUCACAAGAUAUAUUAAUUGGCUUAGAGAUUCCAUAAAUUUGAGUCCUAAAGUUGAGUUUCAUAGCUAAAUAACUAGUGAGGUGGCUUAAUGGCUUGCAAUAAAUUCAAUUGCCAUUGUGGAAGAAGCAUUGAUAGUAUUGGUUUUAACUUUUUUCUAUUAUGCAAUUUAAUUAGAAAAUGAAAAAUUGAUUGAUUAGAUUAUAUACAAAUAUGCUAGACUUGUCAAUGAAACCUCUUAUUUCCAAAUCAAAAGAAUUUCAUCAUUGGAAAUUAAAAGAAAUACAAAGGCUAGCAUGGUAGUUAGUUUAUCUCCAUAGGGACUUAUAUCAAGAGAACAAAUUAUUAAUGAUAAUCAUAUGAGCUUAAACUAGAUCAUUUUUACAAAAGAAUAAAGAGUGAAAGAAUUAAGAUAACAUGAAAACAAAUUGAUCAAUCAUAACAUCUGCACAUGGAAUAAUAAUAUUAUACAUAAAUCUAUUUGAUAUAAAACAUUGAUAUGUAGAAAAGUCUUAUCAUGAAACGACUUAUCAUUCUUAAUGCACUUAAGAUAGGAUUUCCUAUUUCUUAGUUUAAAUUUGUAAUUAUCUUUUAGAAAAUUAAGAAUCUCACACUUCUAUGAUCAAAUCCAUUCCUAUUCCGAUUCCUAAAACCUCUUUUAAUAGAAAUAGUAGAAAACAAUAGAUGAAUGCAAGGCAUCACAUCCAAUAGAUUCUUCAGCAUGGAAUGAAUAAGUUUUACAAUAAAAAAUAAGAAGGAUUCAAGUUUAAGAUAAAAAAAUAAAAUUAUAAAAAAAAAUUGCAAUUAAAAACAUUACAAAGAAAUGCAUCCUUUCAUUCUUCAAUGCUGCAUCUUGAAAGCUUCUCCAAAGAUCAAUAGGUUUUUAACUCUCCAAAGCAAGACUCACAAACGAAGAAAAUCUCUUAAGGAAAUCAUAAACGAACUCUCUAAUAUCUAAAACUUUAUCUCUCUCCAUGUAACUUCUCUAACUCCCUUCAAAUGACUAGAUAGCAAGCUAUUUAUAAGCAAUUGAUUAGUCUCUAGUCCAAUCACAACUUGCCACGUACUCAAUAUUAAUCAUAAGAAAAUCUAACAACUAAAUCUUCAAUUUUGAUCCCUAUGAUUACAGUUCAUGAAUGGGUAUUGAUACUUCCUAAAAAAAUCUAUACUAACUACGAUAUAAAAUAUACAUUCUCUUCUAGUUAUCAAUAUUCAAUUGGAAAAAAUGAUACAUUAUGAUGCACUGCAAUAAAAGAACCCUGAUGUUAUCAUGUAUUGAAAUUGAUCAUAUCAUAUAUCAAAAUUAAUCAUCUAGUCUUCUAGUGAGUUUCUUAAUUGAAGUCAAUACCAGGUGAUAGCGUGUGAUAUACAAUAGUUCUCAUAUCAAAAUAUGAUUUCGCAUAUCAAAUUAUUGUUCUCGAGAUUCUAGUGAGUUUGUUGCUUUGUCGAGCUUCUCUUCGAUACCAACCAAUACGAAGAAACACCAACCUACUUGUAUCCUAGUAAAUUGAAAUAUGAAUAUGAUAGAAUCAUUGUUCAAAAACUAUGAAUAUAGUCUUGGUAUAGAAGUAUCUAAACUAAUACCAUUGAGAAAUUGAAAUUUGCCUUGCUUCAUCAAAUCAAUACAUCCUUAUAUAUUGCAUUCCAUAUAAAAAAGUCUUUCUAGUUUUAUCGCCAAAUAUCAAAAUGUGCUCUUAGUAUCAAACUGAUGAUCAAUCUCUAAAUUUUUCCUCUUCAACCAUUGGUUAUUAAGCCUUAAUCUUGUUUUCCAUCUUUUAGAUUAAUGUGAAAGUUAUACAACACUUGCAUAAAAUUUUACCAACUUACAACAUGAAUUUCAAAAGAGAUAAUUAGCACAAUUGCUAAUUAUAGGUUAAAGUAGUCAAAUUUUAUGCAAAUAUUCUAAAAAGAUCCCUAGUUAAGUUUUUCAAAUUAUGCAUUUUACACACAAAUACAAUAUCUUAAUGUUUUUCCUUUGAUAUAUAUAGUUAUAGACCUUAAAAUUGUUCCUAGGUCCCUUUUUGUUAAGAAUUUCGAUCCCACCCGCUUUCAUUUUUAUUUUUAAGCCCAUUCCAUUUGAGUUUUCAGCCUACUUUUAGGGCCCAUGUUCAUAUCCAUUAAGAAAAUUAAAUUCUAGCAUUUCAUUUUUUAGUCACAUCCCCACUAUCCGUUAAAAACAAAAAUGCUAAAAGGGCAUUUUACUCUUCAUUUUCGUAUUUGCACUAUACAACCAACCCUUCAUUCUUUUCCUCGUUUUUUUUUUUUUUCCUUUUUUUUUCCCUUCAUUUCUUUCCUUUAUUUUCCUCCCUUUCUCCCUUCCAUAGCUGGUGCCACCUCCAUUUCCAGCAGCAUCCUCUGCCACCUGUCCCUGUCAUCUACCUCGACAAUAUUGCAUUGUUGCUACAACCUAGACCCAUUGUUAGUCAUGCCACAUCUCUCUCUCUCUCUCUCUCUCUCUCUCUCUCUCUCUUUCCCUUCCUGUCUUCUUUUCUUUCCCCUCUUACCAACUCACUAGUUGUUGCCAUUCCUCUGUCUCCAGACAAUAGUCAUGGGUUGCCCGUAAUACCACCUUCCCCACACACCACCAUUAGUCACGCCACACCAUAACCACCUAUGACACCGUGGCCACACCCUAAGCUCCAUGUAAACCCUCAUGCCAUCACCUCUAUCUCCGUCCACAAUGUCGUCACUCCUCUCACUACCACUGCCCAUGGUUGCCACUCUAUCUCCUCACCAUUGAUCACCAUCUUUUUCCAUUGUGCCACCCAUAUCUGACGUAGCAUCAUUGCACUGCCUCUUUACUCUCUCAUUUGGCUAUCUUUGUUAGUUUUUUUUCGAUAAUGUGUGACCAUAUAUAAUUAUAUUUAUAUGAAUAUUAUUUAAGGGUAUUAAUUGAUAGGUAGGUAAAUCAAUUAAUUGGGCAUCCAAGAGUCUUAUGUAUGGAAGACUCAAACUACAAAUGGGGAGUUAGAAAAUUUACUUUAUAUGAAUGUGGUGUUACAACUUUUGUAACCCCAUCAUUAUGAAAUUUAUUUUCUACAUUAUAUUUGAGUAAUGGAGGAAAAUGGAAAAAUAUCCUAUGCAAUUAUAUAGAUGCAUUCAAGUUCGUAACCCACCAUUACCCAUUAAUUUGUACAUAAUGGGUGUAAAUAAUGAGUACAACUCCCAUAUAGUCUUUGAUGGGAAGACUAAGAGAUGUACAACUUUUAUAAAUUGAGGUCCCAAGCCACAUUCUCAUUCUUAUGUCAUUUUUGUUGUUUAUUUUUAACAACUUACAUCACACAAGUGACCCAUCCAUUAUAUGAGAGUAGUGAGUUGAAGACCUUGACAAUUCAAUUCACAAGGUGACUCAAUCUCACUUCAAAAGUGUUAUUGGUAUUAUGGAUUAAGGUAAGAAUAUGAUCAUUAUUUUAGCACUUAUAUUUAUUUUGUUUUAUGCAUCCAAAAUUGUUUUUUAAAAUAAUUAUUUCCGCAUAAAGUUUAUAAAAGUUUGGUUAACAAUCUUUUCCUCAUUUUCGGCUGUUCAAGAGACAUGGGUAAGUCUCAUUGAUUCCUACAACGCAUGUUUGUGGGCUUUGUUUCUUUGGGCUUGAUUAAUUUGAUCUAUAAGUGAGAUAUUGGUUUUAUUCCAUCUGGGCCUUGGGCCAGAUUUUUAUAAUUUGGGUUUAUUGGGCUUUAGUUUAUUAUAUUUUCAUUUGGGCUUUGAUUUUGUUAGAUGUUCUUUUGGGCUUGCAUUUUGUUUUGGGCUCCAACCUAAUUGAAUUUAUUUGAUAUGAAUUUCAUAUAUUUACUUUGGGUUUGCAUUAUUGCUUUAAGAUAUUAUUAUUUAGUUUUGGCCUUUGAAUUCUGACUUAGUCUUACUUUUGUUCAACGUAGUAUUGCAUGAUUUUGCAAGGUAAUCAGGGUAAAUUAUGAUAAAAAUGUAAAAUAAAGAUAUGAACUUUAAAAUUAUUUUUGACUUUAAGUCAUAUCAUUAAGUUAUUUUAUUAAACACACUUAAUUUAACUUUAUUACUUAAAUUAAGUUAUUAAGUUAGUUUAUCAAACGUAAAACUUAAUACUUAUUACUUAACGACUUAAGUUAAUUUUAGGUUAAAUUGUACUUAAGUUGUUGACUUGAAACUUAUUACUUAAUUUUUACUUUAAGUAUUAAAGUUGUUUUAUAAAAUUAAUUAAAAAUUUAUUCUAAAUCAUCAAAUAAAUAUCAAUUAUAACAAACGCAAAGGAGUCAAGUAAUAAUGGAGGUCGUGGAGUAGCAAAAAAGAUUGUGAAGGUAAUUAGGGUAAAUAGGGAUAAAAAGGUAAAAUAAAGAUAUGAACUUAAGAAUAAGUUAAUUGUUUUUAUUUAUCACUUAAAAUCAUUUUUUAUUUUAAGUCAUACUAUUAAGUUAUUUUAUCAAACAUAUUUAAUUUACUUAAUAACUUAAAUUAAGUUAUUAAGUUUGUUUAAGUCAUUAAGUUGGUUUAUCAAACAUUGGGGUGUUUGGUAAAACUUAAUACUUAUUAUUUAAUAAUUUAAGUUUACUUUAAGUUAAAUUAUAUUUAAGUUGUUAACUUAAAAUUUAUUACUUGAUUUUUAUUUUUAAGUAUUAAGGUUGUACGAUAAAAUUAACUUAAAAUUUACUUUAAAUAAUCAAAUUGAUAUAUUUAUCUUUAUAAAUUAUAAUUAAGGUAAAAAGAGUUCAGUAACAAUGGAGGUUGUGAAACAAUAAAAGAAAUCAUAAAGAUAAUUAAGGCAAAUAGAGAUAAUAAAGUAAAAUGAAAAUAUGAAAAAUAAGUUAAUUAUUUUUAUUUAUUACUUAAAAUAAUUUUUGAUUUUAAAUCAUAUCAUUAAGUUAUUUUAUCAAAUAUACUUAAUUUAUUUAAUAAUUUAAAUUAAGUUAUUAAAUCACUUCAAGUUGUUAAGUGGUUUAAUGACUUAAUUUAUCAAAUCACUUAUUCUUUACUAUUCUUUCAUUGGGACUGUCAGAAAGACCUACCACCAAGAGAAGGUCAACAAGAAAUUUUUUGAAAAAUUAACAAAUUCUCCUAAUGAGUUGUUUGUCAUGUGUUUCAUGGGAAAUAUAGAAAAUUAAAGAAAUCCUAUAUAUGUAAAACCAUAAUUGUAACAGACAAAUAAUAAAAGAAAAAGACAGAAAACUAUAAAGGAAGGAAAAUUUACAAUUAAAAUGUUUGAAAGCGCAGACAAUGUAAUCAAUCUCUUAAUUUUCCCAACACCUCCACAGAUUCCCUCUCUUUCUAUAUGUCUAUAUAUAUAUAUAUGCACCUCUUACUUGUAAACCUGUCUGAAUCUUUCUCGGGAGACAAACAGAGAUGGGGUUUGGGGUUCAGGGGUGGUCCUGCAUUUUGAUGGGUGUUGCUGUGAUAUUUUCUAGCACGUGUUUGGCAAGAGGAGUGGGAGAAGGAGAAGGAAAGUGUGAUAUAUAUGAAGAGAGUGGGGAGGUAGAUGAAUCAUAUCCUAUGUAUCAGAAGGGAGUUUGACUGCCAGAAGUACGGACGGCCGGAUAAACUCUACCUCAGAUAUAAAUGGCAGCCCAAGGACUGUGAUUUGCCCAGGUACAAUACCUCUGGAUCUUUCUUUUUCUUUGAAUUUUUUUUUUUGAAAUAUCUCUGUGGACCCCGCAUUUCGGCUCAUGCGCUUCCCACUCGAUGGCGAGUUCGAUUUUUACUUAAAAAAUUGAUUUGUUGAUUAAAAAUGACUUGGAGUCGCCGCUUAUUUUUGUUUUAUAUUUAAAAGGGUAAACAAAAUAAGAAAGAAAACCCUAAGUGUGACUCCUUGUUUUGGAAAAGGUGGUCUGUGAAAAACCGGAUCGGGUUCGGGGGUCAGGUUACUUAUCAGGAAGGUACGGAAAAAAACCGUAGCACCCUUCUAAGUCCCUAAAGUCGGGUCUCUACUAAUAAAAUGAAGUUGACGUGGCAAUUGAUGAGUAAGUCAAUGAAUAUCCUGAAUGAUCAUGCACACGUAAGAAUCGAGACAUGUAUAGACAACGAUUAGAGGGAAAAUGGGUACAUACCUGGGCAACGAGCCACCAUGCGCUAUCCAUAGAGAGGGUUAGUACACCAUAUAGAGCACAAAGCAUAUAACAUGCAUCACUAAACAUGGAUUAGAAUUGUUCGAAGAAAAACUGGAUUUUUGAAAUUCAUUUGAGAAUCAGAAUCUUAUAACUUAUUCGAAAAUUGGAUUCUUAGGAAUUAAAUGUAAGAAUGAGAACUUUUAGAAAUUAAAUUUGAAAGAAAAUUGGGAUUUUGAAGGGUUAUUUGAAAGUUCGGGAUUUUUAAGAAAAAUUAAGUUACGAAGAUCGGGAUUAUGGGAGUUAAAUUUUGAAAGGGAUCGGAAUCUUAAGUUAUUUGAGACAUGGAAAUUAUGAAGGUUGACGUGUAAAAAAUGGAUAUCUUAGAAAUCAUUUGAAGACAAAAUCUAUAGAAAUAAUGAAAUAGAUGAUAAUAAUAAUGACGAUAAUAAGUAACGGGGUAAAUACGGGAAUUGGAGCAUGGGAAACUAGAAAUUAAGUUCGGAGAUAGGACAAUUGGAAAUUCAAAUAGCUAAAUUCAGGAAUCGGAAUUUUGAAGAAUUAGACUCUAAUGAUUGAAAUUUUUAAGAGAAAUAAAUGGGUAAGUAUGGAGUAAUGUUACCGAUUAAUCAAAACGAUAUUUGGGUGGAUGAAUGUAGGAUAAUGAUUCCAAUUGAGUAACAUAAGGUUUAAGCGGAUUAUUGAAAUAUUAAAUUAUCAAAAUAAAUAUGGGAUAAUGAUCCUAAUAGAUGAAAAUAAGGUUUAAACGAAAUAUUGAAAAAUUAGGUUAAGGCACGAGAUUUUCGAAGGAUUAGACUUUAAAUAGAUAGGUAAAUCGAGGUGGAUAAUUCUAAUGAAUGAAAAAUGAGAUUUGAACUAAUUAUUGAAGAAUUAAGUUAAGGCAUGGGAUUUUCGAAGGAUUAGACUUUAAAUAAGUAAAGGAACAUAGGAUACUAAUUCUAAUUAAAGAAAAUAACAUUUAGACAAAUAGUGGGGUUUUAGGAUUGAGAAUUAAAUUAUGACAUUGGAUCUUUUAAAAGGGGCGGAUUUUGGAUAAAUAAACUAAUAUAGGAUGAUAAUACUAAUUAACGAAAAUAAUCAUUUAAACCGAAUAAAAAGAAUAGUGGAAUUUUUAGGGGUUUGAAAAUUAAAUUAGGACAUCUGNNNNNNNNNNNNNNNNNNNNNNNNNNNNNNNNNNNNNNNNNNNNNNNNNNNNNNNNNNNNNNNNNNNNNNNNNNNNNNNNNNNNNNNNNNNNNNNNNNNNNNNNNNNNNNNNNNNNNNNNNNNNNNNNNNNNNNNNNNNNNNNNNNNNNNNNNNNNNNNNNNNNNNNNNNNNNNNNNNNNNNNNNNNNNNNNNNNNNNNNNNNNNNNNNNNNNNNNNNNNNNNNNNNNNNNNNNNNNNNNNNNNNNNNNNNNNNNNNNNNNNNNNNNNNNNNNNNNNNNNNNNNNNNNNNNNNNNNNNNNNNNNNNNNNNNNNNNNNNNNNNNNNNNNNNNNNNNNNNNNNNNNNNNNNNNNNNNNNNNNNNNNNNNNNNNNNNNNNNNNNNNNNNNNNNNNNNNNNNNNNNNNNNNNNNNNNNNNNNNNNNNNNNNNNNNNNNNNNNNNNNNNNNNNNNNNNNNNNNNNNNNNNNNNNNNNNNNNNNNNNNNNNNNNNNNNNNNNNNNNNNNNNNNNNNNNNNNNNNNNNNNNNNNNNNNNNNNNNNNNNNNNNNNNNNNNNNNNNNNNNNNNNNNNNNNNNNNNNNNNNNNNNNNNNNNNNNNNNNNNNNNNNNNNNNNNNNNNNNNNNNNNNNNNNNNNNNNNNNNNNNNNNNNNNNNNNNNNNNNNNNNNNNNNNNNNNNNNNNNNNNNNNNNNNNNNNNNNNNNNNNNNNNNNNNNNNNNNNNNNNNNNNNNNNNNNNNNNNNNNNNNNNNNNNNNNNNNNNNNNNNNNNNNNNNNNNNNNNNNNNNNNNNNNNNNNNNNNNNNNNNNNNNNNNNNNNNNNNNNNNNNNNNNNNNNNNNNNNNNNNNNNNNNNNNNNNNNNNNNNNNNNNNNNNNNNNNNNNNNNNNNNNNNNNNNNNNNNNNNNNNNNNNNNNNNNNNNNNNNNNNNNNNNNNNNNNNNNNNNNNNNNNNNNNNNNNNNNNNNNNNNNNNNNNNNNNNNNNNNNNNNNNNNNNNNNNNNNNNNNNNNNNNNNNNNNNNNNNNNNNNNNNNNNNNNNNNNNNNNNNNNNNNNNNNNNNNNNNNNNNNNNNNNNNNNNNNNNNNNNNNNNNNNNNNNNNNNNNNNNNNNNNNNNNNNNNNNNNNNNNNNNNNNNNNNNNNNNNNNNNNNNNNNNNNNNNNNNNNNCCCCAAAAAAAGGGGGGAAAAAAAAAAAAAAAAAAAAAAAAUCCCAAAAAAAAACCUCUCCCCCGGGGGGGGGGGGGGGGGGGGGGUCUACAAAUAUGCCCCUCUUUGAUAGAGUUCACAAGUGUAAGGAGCGUGAACACUAGAGUGAAAAAGAAGUGUGAAAAGUGAGUGAAAUGAAGUGAACUCUAUCAAAGAACAAAGAAAGACCCCCGAACCCAAAAGGUACAAGUAGAACACAAACUCACUCGAGGCUCUAAAAUUCUAAAAGGCUCAAGGCACCUCUAAAGCUGCAUCGAGGACCCAGACUCCCUCUAAGACAUCUCUACAAGCGACCCAAGAGAUCAACGUCAAAGAUGAGUAAUUGUCGAACCACCCUGGAGUACGAGAAAGAAUGCGCCCAAAGGGGACUACCCUAUGCGGACUACGAGAUGAAUAGACGAUAAACACAGGAUAACGGAGUAAGGAAAAACCGAGGGACAAUGCAAAACCAUGAAGGCAAGAUGCGCAAAGCCAGUGGAUAUGAACGCCAGGAGUUGUGACUUUGGAGGACAAGGCUGACUCUAAACACUAAACUAAGAAAAACGACGGCUCUGGAAGCCAGGCCAAAAAGCUAACUCUAAGCGCUAAACUAGAAAAUAACAGCUCUGGAAGCCAACCAAAAACUAACUCUAAAAGCUAAAUUAGAAAAUAACAGCUCUGGAAGCCUAAACAAGACGACAGCGAUGGCUAAACAAGACGACGGUGAUGGCUCUGGAAGCCUAAAUGAGACGACAGUGAUGGCUCUAGAAGCCUAAAUGAGACGACAGUGAUGGCUUUGGAAGCCCAAACGAGACGAUAGUGAUGGCUCUGGAAGCCUAAAUGAGACGACAGUAAUGGCUCUGGAAGCCUAAACAAGAUGACAGUGAUGACUCUGGAAGCCUGAAUGAGACGACAGUAAUGGCUCUGGAAGCCUAAACAAGACGACAGUGAUGGCUCUGGAAGCCUGAAUGAGACGACAGUAAUGGCUCUGGAAGCCCAAACGAGACGAUAGUGAUGGCUCUGGAAGCCUAAAUGAGACGACAGUAAUGGCUCUGGAAGCCUAAACAAGACGACAGUGAUGGCUCUGGAAGCCUGAAUGAGACGACAGUAAUGGCUCUGGAAGCCCGAAUGAGACGACAGUAAUGGCUCUGGAAGCCUAAACAAGACGACAGUGAUGGCUCUGGAAGCCUGAAUGAGACGACAGUAAUGGCUCUGGAAGCCUAAACAAGACGACAGUGAUGGCUCUGGAAGCCUGAAUGAGAUGACAAUAAUGGCUCUGGAAGCCUAAACAAGACGACAGUGAUGGUUCUGGAAGCCCGAACGAGACGAUAGUGAUGGCUCUGAAAGCCUGAAUGAGACGACGGUGAUGGCUCUGGAAGCCUGAACAAGACGACAGUGAUGGCUCUGGAAGCCCAAAUGAGACGAUAGUGAUGGCUCUGGAAGCUUAAAUGAGAUGACAGUAAUGGCUCUAGAAGCCUAAACAAGACGACAGUGAUGGCUCUGGAAGCCUGAAUGAGACGACAGUAAUGGCUCUGGAAGCCUAAACAAGACGACAGUGAUGGCUUUGGAAGCCUGAAUGAGAUGACAGUAAUGACUCUGGAAGCCCAAACGAGACGAUAGUGAUGGCUCUGGAAGCCUAAAUGAGACGACAGUAAUGGCUCUGGAAGCCUAAACAAGACGACAGUGAUGGCUCUAGAAGCCUAAAUGAGACGACAGUAAUGGCUCUGGAAGCCCGAAUAAAAAAACUAACUCUAAAAGCUAAACAUGAAAAUAACAGCUCUGGAAGCCAACAAAAAAACUAACUCUAAAAGCUAAACUAGAAAAUAACAGCUCUGAAAGCCAAACAAAAAACUAACUCUAAAAGCUAAACUAGAAAAUAACAGCUCUGGAAGCUAACCAAAAAAACUAACUCUAAAAGCUAAACUAGAAAAUAACAGCUGUGGAAGCUAACCAAAAAACUAACUCUAAAAGCUAAACUAGAAAAUAAUAGCUCUGAAAGCCAAACAAAAAACUAACUCUAAAAGCUAAACUAGAAAAUAAUAGCUCUGAAAACCAAACAAAAAACUAACUCUAAAAGCUAAACUAGAAAAUAACAGCUCUGGAAGCUAACCAAAAACUAACUCUCAAAGCUAAACUAGAAAAUAACAGCUCUGGAAGCCACUAAAAACUAACUUUAAAAGCUAAACUAGAGAAUCCAUAGGUGAAAACCUACGGUGGCGAUACAAUAAAAAUGCCCAUAGACGCCAAUCUAUGGUGGUGAAACUCUCAAAGGCCCACAGAUAAAAAUCUAUGGUGGUGAUAACCGAAACAAAUGCUCAUAGAUGAAAAUCUAUGAUGGUGAAUCUGAAAUGCCCGUAGAUAGCUAAUCCAUGGUGGUGAAAUAACUGAAAUGCCCAUAGACGUCCGAUCUAUGGUGGUGAUAAACAAAACAAAUGCCCAUAGAUGAAAAUCUAUGAUGGUGAAUCUGAAAUGCCCAUAGAUGUCUGAUCUAUGGUGGUGAUAAACGAAACAAAUGCUCAUAGAUGAAAAUCUAUGAUGGUGGAUCUGAAAUGCCCAUAGAUAGCUAAUCCAUGGCGGUGAAAUAACUGAAAUGCCCAUAGAUGUCUGAUCUAUGGUGGUGAUAAACGAAACAAAUGCUCAUAGAUGAAAAUCUAUGAUGGUGGAUCUGAAAUGCCCAUAGAUAGCUAAUCCAUGGUGGUGAAAAAUCUUAAACAAAGGGGGAUGCCCUAAACAGACUAAAAAAAUAGGGGGAUGCCCUAAACAAGAUGACGGUAGGGGGAUGCCCUGAACGAAAUGACAGUGGGGGGAUGCCCCAAACGAAAAUGACAGUGGGGGGAUGCCCCAAACGUAAAUGACAGUGGGGGAUGCCCCAAACGAAAAUGACAGUGGAGGGAUGCCCCAAACGAAAAUGACAGUGGGGGAUGCCCCAAACGUAAUGACAGUGGGGGGAUGCCCCAAACGUAAAUGACAGUGGGGGGAUGCCCCAAACGUAAAUGACAGUGGGGGGAUGCCCCAAACGAAAAUGACAGUGGGGGGAUGCCCCAAACGAAAAACGCUAAAGGGGGUAUGCCCCAGUAUGACGACUCGCAAAGAUCAAGAAAUGGACUGAGUAGUGAGAAAGAUGUGCAAAACAGUCGAUGUACUCAAAGAUAGGGGUAUACCCCAGUGUGGCAUGCCACUGCAAAUCUCAAUCCGCUGGAAAUGGCUGAAAGGGACUCUACGAGUCUCAAACGACGCUCCGCUAAGAGCUCAGGAAUAAUGGUCAGUGAGGCGAAUACAAUAUAUCUCGAUCGAGUGAUGGAAACUGUAACGGAUAUGUGAGAGAACGAUCGCCUCCGGGGCUAAAUGAAGGCAAUAUACCCCAGUAUGACAUCAGAUGUACCCAAUCUGUCCUGAUGACCCGAGAAUAACACCAAUGGGACGCGUAACAGAUCUGAUAUGUACCCCUCUGAAAUGACGACGCGGGAAAUCCAGGCACCAGAGACAACUCCAUCCAGGAAUCACGACUACAUCAAAGGGUAUGAAUCUGGCUGAAUGACUCAAGAGAGGCUCCUCGGAGUAUUCGGACAAAAUGAAAUCAAACAUCGACCUGGCGUGUAUCUCAUAACCGUGGAUGAUCAUGUAAACCAGUGGGGAUCUAUAAAUCUCGAUCAAGAUGGGGAAUAUGUCCCAAUGUAAUACGUCGAAAAAUCAAAUGAGCUCAGGUCAUCCAUGCCUAGCUAGAUGGCUCUCGAUAGGCUCCACUAAGGAAUCAUCGUGAGGAUAGCGAAUAUAUCAUCAUCUCUGCACACAUCUCGCCAAAUAAGGAUAAACACGCGACCCCCUCAUGAUCUGUAAAUCUCAUCCGAACCGAAAUAUGCCCCUGUAUGGUAUCGAAAUGUAUGAUAGGUCGGAGAUCAGAUAGCAUGGAAUCAUCUAUCCUCAAACAUGUGACCUCUGCGAAGAUCCAUAAAGAUCCUCCGAAACGAAAUAUGCUCCAGUAUGGCAUCAGGUGCGCAACAGGUCCGAAUAACAAACGUCAUGAAAUCAUCCAUCAUCGCACAUGUGACCUCCAUGAAAGUCCGUAAAUCUCAUCCGAAACGGAAAAUAUGCCCCAGUAUGGGCAUCGGAUGCACGACAGGUCAGAAAUCGAGCGACACGAAAUCAUCUGUCAUCGAACAUGUAACAAUGGUCGUCUGAAUCCAUAACUGAAUCAUGCACACAUAUCCAAAAUGUACCUCCUAGGUGGAGAGGCAUGAUGGAAUCCAAGUGUCGAGAAGUGCGGACCCGGCUGGGUGGAUCUCAGAGGCUCCGUAAGGUAACGAUCAUGUCCACGUCUCGAUGAGCAUCCAGUAAGUGAUGAUCGCGCAAGUCCGUGAGGAUCCAUGAACCUCUAAAUGAAAUGGGAUAUGCCGCAAUGUGGCAUCAAGAGGUACGAUAUGUCAAAAAAAUCAGGUGACACCAAAUCAAUCAUCAUCAAACUCACGAUCCUGGUAAUCCGAACACAACUGAAUCAGACCUAAACAUCAAAGAGGCGACUCCCAAAAGAAGAAGCAUGGCGAUAUCUAAACAUCAACCAGAUCUCAAUCACUUGUCCAAGUAGAGGCUGCCGAAGACGACAUCUGAUCCCAUGGCCUCAGGGUGGUCUUAAGACACGGGACGUAACGUAGGCCAAGGUGAUAGGGUGAUAGAAAUGAAAGAAAACUAGGCUCAAAUACCCAAUGAUCAAAACUCAUGCCCUCAUAUAUGAAAUGCAACAUGUAUAGUGAACCUCAUGAGCCAUGGACCUGAGGAUGCCUAAUGUGAAUAUGAUAUCGAUAAGGAGACAAAUGAAGCAAAAUGAACUGGUAGUGAUAUGUGUAAUGAUGAUGCGAAGUAUCGAACCCGAGAUGGGUCACUGUAAGGGGAGAAUAAGAUGUGAAGGGAAUGAGAUGAAUCACAAGCAACGAUAAAAACGACAGCGAAACAAUGGAUAUGUGAAGAAAGGUAGUGAUCGACUCAGAUCAAACAUGAAGUGAAGUCACAUCAAUAAUGAAUGUAAUGAUGGGAAGGACAAUGACUCGGAGUCCUUAGGAGAAGGUCACUCAUCUCUCUCACAAAUAGAUAUGACGAAGUAAUACAAAUAACAUGGGAUCUCAGAGAGCUCACAUACGAACUCCCAAUAACGAACAUACUCGAUAAAAAUGACCCCCAGACAUCAAUAUACAUACCCAAUGAUCGAGAACACUAUGCACAUACACACAUGUGCUAAUAAUAAUAAUAAUGAUUUUUUUUUUUUUUUUUUUUUUUUUUUUUUUUUUACAUAUAUACAAAUACGCGUACCCUGAACGUGAACAAAUGAACCCCAAAGAUGAUAUCGAUAACAAAUAAACACACCCCCAAGUGAUAAGGCAACCCAAAACUCUCUCUAACGAGAUGACCUUCUCAAACUAAGGAUCUCUAAACCAAUGUCCGUGAGAUAGAUGGUGGAAAUGAUGUGACUAUCCUCCAUGUGAUGAACUGAGGAGGCUCACCACUCAGGGUGGAGAGAAUAUGAGACAAACAAAUAGUAGAUAGGAUAAAGAAGAAGAGAUGAAUAACACAACCAAUAAGAUGAGAUGAAAGUGCAGAGGUGCAGUGAUAGGAAAAGAUGAUGAGAAAAACAUGCCCCUAGGUCCAAGGCUCAUGAAACUACCAAACAAUGCAUGCAUACAUUAAAGGGCCCUUAUCCUGGUGUGAAAAUGUGAGCAAGGCGAUAAGAAAGAAAGGCUAUAAUGUGCAUGCGAGGCUCAAUGGGCUAGCAACGGACUAUGUAUCAAAAGGGAAUAACAAGGUAAUGGCUAACCGAAAUGAUGGCCACCCAUCCUGCGACCAUGGUCUCAAACAUAGUACCUCUUUAGCUGAUCCACAUUGGUUGGCUCUGAGAAUCGGUUUCCAUCUAAAUCCAUCAACCAUGCAGCGCCCUUUGGGGUCAACUCCCUGAUGAAAUAAGGUCCGCUCCAGUUGGGUCUGAACUUCCCUCUAGGAUCCCUGAUCAAUCCCCUGAUGACUUUCAGAACCAAGUCACCAAUCUGUAAUGGUCUGGGCCUGACCCGCUUUUUGAAAGCGCGGGCCAUCUUCCUCUGAUACGCACGAACAUGGUCUGCUGCUCUCAAUCUCCUCUCAUCUAGGAGAUUGAGCUGAUCAAAUCGAGCCUGAGCCCAAUCUGCCUCGGGAAUCUGCUGCUCUAAUGCUACUUUCAACGAACCCAUCUCAAUCUCAACGGGUAGCAUGGCCUCCAUGCCAUAUACCAAGGAGUAGGGUGUGGCGCCUGUAGAGGUGUGAAAAGAAGUCCGAUAAGCCCACAAUGCAAAUGGGAGCUUCUCUGACCAAUCCCGAGAAGUCUCGACCAUCCUCCGUAAUAUCCUCUUGAUAUUCUUAUUCGCGGCCUCUACUGCCCCAUUCGUCUGUGGCCUGUACGCAGACGAUCUAUGAUGCCGGAUGCUGUAUCUCUGUACUAAGGUGUCAACUUCUGCUCUGAAAUGUACCCCUCUAUCCGAAAUCAACUCAUGGGGGACUCCAUAGCGACAGAUAAUGUGUGAUCUGAUAAAACUAGCAACUCCAGCUGAUGUCAAUCUCGCAUAUGAGGCGGCCUCCACCCACUUGGUGAAGUAAUCGAUGGCGACCAGGAUAAACUCAUGACCACUGGAAGAUUUCGGUGAAAUCUUCCCAAUGAUAUCAAUACCCCAGACGGAAAAUGGCCAUGGUGAAGUCAGUGCAUGCAGCUCGGAGGGCGGCACGUGAAUGAGAUCUCCGUGUAUCUGACACUCGGGACACCUCUGAACAAACUGGCAGCAAUCUGUCUCCAUGUUCAACCAGAAGUAUCCUGUCCUCAUGAUCUUACGAGCCAACAUAUGUCCUCCCAUAUGUGGUCCGCAGACUCCCGCAUGAACCUCUCUCAUCACCCGGUCGGUAGAGGCGCGGUCCAAACACAAUAAUAGCAUCCCGUCAGGUGAUCGCCUGUACAGUGUCUCGCCGCAAAUCACGAAUCGAGUGGCCAACUGUCUCAAUGCUCUCUUAUCCUUGGCCGUGGCGGCCUCAGGAUAUACGCCGAGUCUCAAAAAGUGAUAUAUGUCGUGAUACCAUGGCAAACCAUCAUCUGGCUCUACAUCAUCGAUCAGGCAACAGUAAGCAGGAGCAGAUCUCGACUCGAUCAACAGAGGUCGAACAGUGGCAUCAACGGGAAUAUCGAUCAUGGAAGCUAGAGUAGCUAAAGCAUCAGCAAACUGGUUCUGCGCUCUAGGCAGAUGGGUAUAUCUCAAAUCAUCAAAUCUCCCAACCAGUAGCUCCAAAUAUGCAUGAUAAGGCUUAAGCUUCACAUCUCUAGUCUUCCACUCGCCCUAAAUCUGUCUCAAUACCAGAUUGGAGUCACCAAACACCUCCAUCUGUCUAAUCCCGAGCUCGAGGGCCGUCUCUAAUCCCAAGAUACAAGCCUCAUACUCAACAAUGUUGUUCGUGGUAGGAUGUCGAUCCGAGAAUGCCAAACGAACUGAUCUGGGAAUGUGAUCACCGUGAGGGGAUAUCAACAAGACGCCUAUCCCAUAUCCAGAAUGGUUGGCCGCGCCAUCAAAGUACAUGUGCCAACCUGACAGACUAGUCACAGCAGCGACAUCCUCGUCUGGAAAAUCAUCGUCAAUAGCUCUGGCAUCAGAAACUGGUAAUGAGGCUAGAUGAUCUGCUACAAUGCUCCCUCUGAUGGACUUCUGAGUGACAUAAUGGAUGUCAAACUCAAUAAGAAGUACCAGCCAUCUCAUAAGGCGACCAACCAGAGCGGGUCUGUCAAACAAAUAUCUCAGAGGAUCCAGGCGAGAUAUCAAAUGCACAGAAUACUCGGUCAUGUAAUGUCUCAAUCGGCGAGUGACCCAAACCAAUGCCAAGCAAUAACGCUCAAUCAUGACAUACCUCAUCUCGUAGUCUAACAUCCUCUUACUCAAAUAGUAAAUGGCUCGAUCCUUGCCCGAAUCAUCGAGCUGAGCUAACAUGCAACCCAAGGCCACGUCUGAUACGGACAAGUAUAAGAGUAGAGGACGACCUGGUGUAGGAGGCGCCAAAACAGGAGGUGACAACAAGUACUCCCUGAUCCUCUCGAAGGCACGCUGGCACUGGUCAUCCCAAACAGUAGGUUGACUCUUCCUCAAGAGUCGAAAUAUGGGCUCACAGAUGUCUGUCAAUCUGGCUAAGAAUCUACUGAUAUACUGAAGUCUGCCCAGGAAGCCUCUGACCUCUCUCUCUGUCCUCGGCGCAGGCAUGUCAAGAAUGGCUCUAAUCUUGUCCGGAUCUACCUCUAUGCCUCGCUCACUGACCAUGUAUCCCAAGAGUUUCCCAGAAAUCACUCCGAAAGUGCACUUCUUGGGAUUCAGUCUCAAUCUGAACUGUCUGAUCCUCUCAAAGAACCUCUCAAGAGCUGUCAAGUGAUCUGAUCUAUCUCGGGAUUUCACUAUCAUGUCGUCUACGUAAACCUCGACAUCCCGAUGCAUCAUGUCAUGGAAAAGUGUGGUCGCUGCUCUCUGAUAUGUGGCUCCUGCGUUCUUCAAUCCGAAUGGCAUGACUCUAUAGCAAUAAGUACCCCACUCGGUAAUGAAGGACGUCUUCUCCAUGUCCUCUGGAGCCAUCAAGAUCUGACUGUACCCGAAAAAUCCGUCCAUAAAGGACAACAUCGAAUGACCCGUCGUACUGUCAACUAACAUGUCGAUGUGUGGAAGAGGAAAAUCAUCCUUAGGACUAGCCUUGUUGAGAUCUCGGAAAUCAACACAGACUCUUACCUUGCCGUCCUUCUUGGGAAUAGGGACGACAUUGGCCAGCCACUCCGGGUACUCAACCACUGAUAAGAAUCCUACACUGAGCUACUUCUGGAUCUCCUCUUUCACCUGCAAGCUCCAACGAGGGUGUAAUCGUCUCAACUUCUGCUUAACCAGUCUGGCCUGGGGCAGAAGUGGCAAACGAUGCUGGACGAUAGAUGGAUCAAGGCCUGGCAUGUCCUCAUAGGACCAUGCGAAAACGUCUAAGUAGGAUCUGAGUAGCUAGAUGAGGCUAUCUCUCUCAUCUGUAGACAAAUCCGAUCCGAUCCUCAACUCCCUAGGCUGAUCUGCCGUGCCAAAGUCAACAAUCUCGCUGUCCCCUACAGCAGGUGAAACUCUCUGAUCAACGGGGUCUGAAUCGAAAGCAAAAGACGAGUCAUCGUCUAAGUCGUGCUGCGCAACCUCAUCAUCAAUGUCAAAAAUCUAUGAUGUGGGUGAAGAUGGUGCAGAUAAAUCAAUAACAUGAGAGACAGGCAAAUACUCAAAGGUGCUCAAAUCCAUAGAUGAAAAGUCAGAAACAUAGUCAUGACGGGAGACAAAUCCCGAUAAAACAUCAAAGGGGAGAGGUGGGUCCACAAGGUCGGACGCUCCCUCAACUAGGCCAACAGGGCCAUCAAACACAUCAACAGCAACUAUAACAUCCUCGACGACCUCUGGAGUGGGGUCAACCUGGAUCUCCUCGGCGAUCUCGAGGACGGACACCCCAAAGAGAUCAAAUGGUGAAGCGAGCUCCGGCGGGGCUAUCUCCUCAGUCUGGCCCAAGCUCAUCGCGAGCAUCUCAUCAACGUACUCAUCACGCGGCACGGCUCCAUCCACUACGUCUCCAAUCUAUGCAAAAGUCCCGUGAUCAUCGAUCUCAUCCGGGAAGCAAAGCGUCAUAAGGCUCGUGCGAUCUGGGGAGGAAGGAGCAAUCAACACAGAAGCCGAAGGGCUAGGGGCUCCGUCACUCAACUGUAACUGCUGGACGAGGCACUGAAGCUCGGCCUCCUGGGUGGUGCUGAGUCCUCCGAUGAUCCCAUCAGAUGGUGCAUGUGACUCCGAUGCCCUCACAAAGUAAUCAAAUAAGCUCCUGGCGUAUGGGCGAAGAGGAUAGUCGAAAGGCGUGUGGGUCAGCCGAGCCCUCACUCUCUCCCUACGCAAACGCGCCAUGUAUCGAUAGUCAGCCUCGGUGGGGAUGAACCCAAGCCCAAAUGGUAUGUCAUGAUCAGGAAUGGUGAUUAACUCGCUCGGUCCAUGCUGACGUCAACCCAACCCCAUGCCGGGUAGAUAGGACAUGCCUCUCAUGAUAUCAAGCACCACUGUGCUCCCAUGUUGGUCAAAGGACAUAGCGAUGAAGUCCAGGCAAAAGUCUCCCAGUCUGUACCUCAUCAAAAGUGAACCCGGUCAGUAGUAAAUCAUCAUCACUGUGGCUGAUCUGGAGCACGGGCUCAGCGGAAAUGAACAUGUCCCCUGCCGACUGUACGACGACUACCUGGCCCUCAUGGAUGAACUUCACUUUCUGAUGAAGUGAAAAAGGAAUGGCUCCAGCUCGAUGAAUCCACGGUCGGCCCAAAAGCAGGUUAAAGGAUGUAGGAAUCCUCAAAACCUGAAACACGGCGACAAAAGUGGCUGGACCAAUCAGCAACUCGAUCUCCAAUGUACCCAUGACCUCCCUCCGAGUACUGUCAUAAGCUCGGACGGUCUGAGUGGAGGGACUGAAAUCAGAAGGAGCGUAUCUAAGAGCGAUGGCGGUGGCCAGAGGACAUACGUUCAGGGCUGAGCCAUUGUCCAGAAGGGCAGAUGGAACUCGACGACCUGAAAAGCCAACAGAUAUAUAGAGAUGACGCGUGUGGUCUGAACCCUCUGGUGGCAAGUCAUCAUCGGAAAAGACGAUGCAAGUGGCUCUGCCGGCCGUCAUCAUAUGGAUCAAUCCCUCGGGGGAGGUGGUAGUCUCGACUCGGAUCUGGCUCAAAGCCCGAAUCAGAGCAUCACGAUGAAUGCUCGAGGACGCCAACAGGCUCCAAAUGGAAAUACGAGCCUGAGUGCUCCGCAACUGUCUCAAGAUCUCAUCGUCCUCGGCUUUGACCUCCUCGGGAGCGGACGUACCCUCAAUUGGCCUAGCUGCCGCGGGAGGUGGCUGUCGCAUCACUCUGCCUCCUCGGAAAACAUACUGAAUGUCCAGAGUCUGAGAAUCAUCAUUGUGUGGAGCCUGAAACUCCUCAACAUCUGGGACUAAGACGAACGACGUCUGAAUGCUAUAGCGCGGCAAGAUCAAUGGCUCAACGGUGGCAGCCUGCACUGACGCCGCCUCGGGAACUAAUCGGAAUGAAGCAGGCGUCCGAGGGCCCAGAGUCACCCCACUCAUCUCAUAAAUCACAUCUGGCAUGAUGGGCUCCGGGUCUGGAUCAUCACCACUCAGCAUGUGGAUGUGGUCAUCGAUCUCAUCAAACUCCAAGAAAUGAAUGCCAUCAGCUGGUGGAGGGAUUGCAUGCGUGGUGUGAGCAGGCAACGGGUUUGUGGUCACACUCGGCUGACCCAAGUGCACCAAACCCUGGUCGAUCAAAUCCUGAACGGCAUGCCUCAAAGCGGUGCAUCGAUCUGUCUCAUGUCCAGGCCCCUGAUGGUAUGCACAAUGUAGAUCCAUCCUGAACUGAGGUGGAAUCGAUUGAGGCGGCGGCCGAGGGGUGUGAGUAGUCAAUAACCCAGCCUCUGUAAGCUUCCGAAGAGUCUGGCUCAACGGCAUGCCUAUAUGUGAGAACUGCCUUUGCGUCCUCAAAGCAAAGGGAGCAGAAGUCUGCUGAGCUCUGGGUCGGGGAUAAGGCGCUGCGGGUCUCGCAGUGAACUGAGCAGCGUAGCAUGGCUGUCCUGUAGCCGUGUAGGAAACCGAGGGUCUCUCAAUGCCCUGGGAGGCAUAAUAAGGCAAAGCCAAAGUCUGCGGAGUAUAUGUCUGAUCAUAAGCUGGACGAGGUGCCCGUGGCCUGUACUGAUGAGAUGCAUAGGACGAAUGAGGCUCGGGAAACUGUGGGAUCGGCUGAUGGCGCCUGAGAGGCCUCUGACUGGAAGAACUGAUAACGCUCACAUCUGUUGGCCUCGAUCCUACGAAGGGCUUCUUCCCCUUAAUAUCACUAAGGGAAGAAUCUGUCCAUAAUCCUCUCGAGAUGCCGUCCUCGACAUCGUACAGAGCCAUAACCAGAGACCCAAAAUCUGUGAACGGGGCCCCUACCACAUGUCUGGCGAUCCGUGGCUGCAGGCUCCUCAAAACCAUCUGAAUCUGGUCCCUCUCUGAUGGUCUAUCGAUAAUCUCAGCUAUCUUCCCGCGCCAGCGGGAAAUGAACGAAGAAACUGACUCGUCCGAUCUCUGCCUAAGAGCCUCUAGCUCUCUCCUCGAUACGUCUACGACAGUGUUAAACGAAAACUGUCGUAGGAACUCCUGGGCCAAGUCGUCCCAUGUGCGGCGCCUCGAGGCCUCCAAAGAUGCAAACCAACGCUGGGCCGCCCCACUCAAAGAUAGUGGGAAAAGAGUAAUCAUCUGAGGCUCGUCCAGUCCAUGAGCCCUCAUCACGGUGCUGUAUAAUCGGAGAUGGAGGCGUGGACAACCAAUGCCAGUAUACCUCUCAAUGUCAGGCAUCCUGAACUUAGCCGGCAAGCUAGCUACCGGCACUCCAUCAAAACCCUCCCAAGUAGUGGCUCUGUCUGAAGCCCUCAAUUGUCGCAAACCCUGCUCAAGUCUAUCCAUGCGAGCAUGUGGGUCCUCUGAGGUCGGGGUGAGCGCGGUGAUGGGAGGCAGGGCAACCCCGGUCUGACUAUGCAGAGUGAACGGCAUGGCCUGUGGCGCUGACUGACUGGGUGGAGGAGGUGGUGGCACUGUAGGGUCAUACUGGGCACCAACCGGGGGCGGGACCUGCUGGGCCUACUGCCCAUCUAUCCUCCGGCCAAGGCUAGCUAUAGCCUCCUGAAUCGAAGCCAUGGCCUCAGCGAACUGAUGGACGGUAACUAUCUGUGAAUUCAUAUCCCUCUGAUCUGAUCUCUGGUCUAACCAGUCCGAUACCCUGAUCAAUCUACCCCCAACUCUAAUCCAAGAAGUCGAUCCCAGACUGAACGUAUCGGUACUCCUACAAUAGUGAAAAUACUAGAUAAGGUGCGGGGUAAGGGAAACUUCACAAAGAAUGUCUAUCAAAUGUGUCAAAAGGUAGCCUGGAAGCGAACAAACCGAUAUCCAACCCUGAGCAGGUAUAUAAGAGACUACUGCGAAGGUAACCAAACCUGUUACUACUGAAACGGCUCUGAAGGCCCACGGAUGCACCCACGUGUAGGGAGGGAGUCCUAAUUGAAGGAUCUACGACUCAACCUACAAGGUGAAGGUGGCUCUAAAUGGAUACGGGUGGACUUUAAAAGAUCCCUAGCAGAAGCGAUCAUACCCUCCAGCAGUACGCAACCCUCUACACGCCUCAAAGAGAGACGGGGUGCUUCCAUGCAAGGUGGUCAUCACCUCCACACAUGCACUACCUCGACACCCCAGGGGGUUUCCUAUGGUGAAAUCUCUCAAACUCUCAACGCUCAAUGGUCAACUAAAGUGCAUAGUGAAUGGUGUGGGUGCAUCCGAAAACCCUAAGGAUCUAGAGCAGAAGAUGAAACACACUGGUCGCACGACUAUCCAUGAAACCUAGCUCGGGGCUAUACAGGUCUUCAAUGAUCGGACUCCAAUCGACAUCAAAGUGUCGCUCUCCUCCAGAAUGCUCUCGUGCAUCGAUAUAGCCCGUCGCUAGACCCUACUCCUAAUCUCGGGCUCGGUCAGAGAGCAAGCACACAGAAUGUCUCACACUUGCAAUAGUGAGAACUGAGAUGAAAGGAAUGACCGAAACCAAGAGAGUUGGAGGUAGGGGGAUAGAAGUGAGACCCACAUAGACAGACGACAUGCAAUCAUGCAGAGGGAGGGCAGUCAUGCAUCAUACAGUCAGACAGAGCAGGAUAUAUCACUCAUAUACACACAAGAUAAGCGAAAAUACGACAAUCAAGACGAAUAGUGAUACAAACAUCAUGCUCAAAGACGGUCAAAACAGUAUUACAAGUCAGAGAAUCAACAUGUCAAGUCGAGUGAUAUACAGUGGUGAGUGUAUGCAUGUGAAGUGAUCAGGACAAGCAUGGAAAAAUCAGAAUCAAUGUGCUAAUCAAUGCAAUAAGAUCAAUCAUCGAUAAUCCAACAUGUCAAAAUCUCGAAUGAACACGACAUCUAAGCAUGCAUCAAGAAAUCCUCAAUGUGCAAUCAAGAGAUGAGCAUCCACUGAUCGUCCAAUCAAAUGCCACGUUUGCUUCACUCUAAGUUCAAGCUUGACCCUCUAAAAAAAAUUCCCCAGCGGAGUCGCCAUUUUGUGGACCCCGCAUUUCGGCUCAUGCGCUUCCCACUCGAUGGCGAGUUCGAUUUUUACAUGAAAAAUUGAUUUGUUCAUUAAAAAUGACUUGGAGUCGCCACUUAUUUUUGUUUUAUAUUUAAAAGGGUAAACAAAAUAAGAAAGAAAACCCUAAGUGUGACUCCUUGUUUUGGAAAAGGUGGUCUGUGAAAAACCCGAUCGGGUUCGGGGGUCAGGUUACUUAUCAGGAAGGUACGGAAAAAAACCGUAGCACCCUUCUAAGUCCCUAAAGUCGGGUCUCUACUAAUAAAAUGAAGUUGACGUGGCAAUUGAUGAGUAAGUCAAUGAAUAUCCUGAAUGAUCAUGCACACGUAAGAAUCGAGACAUGUAUAGACAACGAUUAGAGGGAAAAUGGGUACAUACCUGGGCAACGAGCCACCAUGCGCUAUCCAUAGAGAGGGUUAGUACACCAUAUAGAGCACAAAGCAUAUCACAUGCAUCACUAAACAUGGAUUAGAAUUGUUCGAAGAAAAACUGGAUUUUUGAAAUUCAUUUGAGAAUCAGAAUCUUAUAAAUUAUUUGAAAAUUGGAUUCUUAGGAAUUAAAUGUAAGAAUGAGAACUUUUAGAAAUUAAAUUUGAAAGAAAAUUGGGAUUUUGAAGGGUUAUUUGAAAGUUCGGGAUUUUUAAGAAAAAUUAAGUUACGAAGAUCGGGAUUAUGGGAGUUAAAUUUUGAAAGGGAUUGGAAUCUUAAGUUAUUUGAGACAUGGAAAUUGUGAAGGUUGACGUGUAAAAAAUGGAUAUCUUAGAAAUCAUUUGAAGACAAAAUCUAUAGAAAUAAUGAAAUAGAUGAUAAUAAUAAUGACGAUAAUAAGUAACGGGGUAAAUACGGGAAUUAGAGCAUGGGAAACUAGAAAUUAAGUUCGGAGAUAGGACAAUUGGAAAUUCAAAUAGCUAAAUUCAGGAAUCAGAAUUUUGAAGAAUUAGACUCUAAUGAUUGAAAUUUUUAAGAGAAAUAAAUGGGUAAGUAUGGAGUAAUGUUACCGAUUAAUCAAAACGAUAUUUGGGUGGAUGAAUGUAGGAUAAUGAUUCCAAUUGAGUAACAUAAGGUUUAAGCGGAUUAUUGAAAUAUUAAAUUAUCAAAAUAAAUAUGGGAUAAUGAUCCUAAUAGAUGAAAAUAAGGUUUAAACGAAAUAUUGAAAAAUUAGGUUAAGGCACGAGAUUUUCGAAGGAUUAGACUUUAAAUAGAUAGGUAAAUCGAGGUGGAUAAUUCUAAUGAAUGAAAAAUGAGAUUUGAACUAAUUAUUGAAGAAUUAAGUUAAGGCAUGGGAUUUUCGAAGGAUUAGACUUUAAAUAAGUAAAGGAACAUAGGAUACUAAUUCUAAUUAAAGAAAAUAACAUUUAGACAAAUAGUGGGGUUUUAGGAUUGAGAAUUAAAUUAUGACAUUGGAUCUUUUAAAAGGGGCGGAUUUUGGAUAAAUAAACUAAUAUAGGAUGAUAAUACUAAUUAACGAAAAUAAUCAUUUAAACCGAAUAAAAAGAAUAGUGGAAUUUUUAGGGGUUUGAAAAUUAAAUUAGGACAUCUGGUUUCUAAAGGAUUGGAUUUUAAAUAACUAAACUCGUAUAGGAUGAUAAUACUAAUUAACGAAAAUAACAUUUAAACGGAAUAAAAAGAAUAGUGGAAUUUUUAGGGGUUUGAAAAUUAAGUUAGAACAUUGAAUUUUUAAAGAGUUGGACCUGAAAUGAAUAAAAAGAUAGGGGAUAAGAAUUCUAGUUAACGAAAAUAACAAUUAGGCGAAUAAUAGAAUUUCGAAGGUUGAAAGUUAAAUUGAGAUUUUUGAAAGAUUUGACUUUAAAUAAAUAUAGGAUGAUGAUUCUAAUUGAUAAAAAUGAAAUUUAAACGAAUUGUAGAAUUUUUAGGAUUGAAAAAUUAAAUUUAAAAAAAAUAUACGGAAUGUUUGAAGGAUUAGACUUUAAAUAACUAAAUAAAUACGGGAUUGUAACUCUAAGUGAUGAAAAUAAAAUUGAGUUGAAUUGUAGAGUUUUUAGGAUUUGAAAGAUUAAAUUAAAACAUGGAAUUUUUGAAGGAUUAAACUUUAAAUAACUAGAUAAAUACGUGAUAAUAAUUCUAAUUGACGUACAUGAGAUUUAAACGACUUAUGGAGAAAUUAAAUUAAGACCUGUGAUUUUUAAAAGGGUUAGACUUUAAAUAACUAUAUAUGUAUGAGAUAAUGAUUUUAUUUGAUAAAAAUAAGAUUUAAACGAACUAUUGAAAAAUUAAAUUGAGGCAUGAGAUUUUUUUUAAAAGGGUUAGACUUUAAAUAACUAUAUAAAUAUGGAAUUAAUCACUCUAUUUAAUGAAAAUGAGAUUUUAACGAGUAUUUGAAGGAUUAAAUUCAAAUAUAGGAUUUUUGAAGGAUUACUUAAAGACCUAAGUUUUGAAAAUGGAAUGUAAAGUCUAGAAUGUAGAAACUUAUUUGAGUCCAAUAUAAAUUAAUUUAUACAAAAGUUUUUCAUAUAUGGUGAUUAGACAUAAUUAAAAUAUAGAUUAUUUUGUGUUUCAAAAAACGAUGUUUACCCCUAAUGAUUUAUCCCUUAGUUAUGCUCAAGUCAAAUUAAAGAAGGUAGGUAAAAAUGUAAUAAGGUGUAAUAAAAAAAUAAAUAAUAAAUAGAUUAUGAGGAUUAGGAGUUUAGAGAUUUAUUUAGAGCUGGGACAGCCAAGUGGGCUAACCCAACAUCGCUUUGGACCAUGAGGGUAGCUAGUUUAGGAACAAUGAGGCUCCUCAUCAACGCGUGGGCUGGGCUCCAAACCCAAGCCCAAAUCCGAACCAUGGGCCAGCCCCAAAACAGCCAUUUCCAUUACAAACUUGGGCUUGGGCUCAAAUCUGCACCCGCCACCACCAGAAAAACCCACAUUGCCGCCUUUGACACUUUGAGCCUGAACUUCGCCUCCUCGUUUAAGCUCGUCAGUGACGAACCGUACACCGCCUUCCCCAUCGAACCUGAAGGCUCUAACUGCCCUGACCGCCGCCCCCCGACGCCACCGGAUUUCUUCAAGUCGUCUCUGGUAGUCGGCGCUGCACGUGACCCUGUCGUCGGCUGCCGCUCCUUGUGUUGAUCCUGCCGCUUAGAUAUGUGAAGGCCAUUGCUGAGCUGGUGAGAUGGGAUUCGCGUACCCAUUGAUGACUUAAAGAGAGGAUCUACAGAGAGGAAGGUAGAGAAGGAGCGAAAUGGAGAGGUGCUUUAGAGAGAGAAAAGGUGGUUAUGGAGAGAGGAAGGGUGACGACGUGCAUGUACAGUCCUCAUGCUCGUGGAAGGGAUGAUGAAAAUGAGAGGGUGGUGUUUCUGAUGGGUGGUGAGAUGAGGGUAGCCAUGCUCAUAUAGUGCUGUGUUAUCCAUUCUUUCAAUGUUGUAAAAGUGCAAUCUUUUCAAAAGGGCCCCAACAGCACCACUAUCCCCACUAAGAAGCUGUUAAGCAGGAUAUGGAAAGAAUGGAUGAUUCCUUCCCAUGUCUAGAUCUUUUAACAUUCCAUGAAAAAAAACCAACUGCAUCUAUGGAAUUCCUGAUGGUAUAAACCAAUGGCUGAGAAGAUCCGGGUAACAAAGAUGGACCAGGAACUAUACCAAGCCUAAGAGAUCUAGGUGAAAGAGAAAAAAAAAACACUUACCGAAGGACUUUUCCUGCUCAUUGGGUCAUUGUAAAUACAGCUGCAUUGUUAACCUUGGGAACUAUUGUCGUCAAGUCAAUAGUGGCAUAACACAAAAAAUCCAUGGCAGACUUAUGAAACAUUGUACAAGUAGCUGCAGUGUAGCAUAGGCUUUGUGUAUCUAGCAUAGAAAAUACCUGGACCAAAACGAGAAGCUCCUCCUCUGCUCAGCUCGAAAUCACCUCCCUAUAGCUCCUCUUGCUUACAGCUUCUCCGUGGCCUUCAAACUCUUCUUCUCAGUUCUCUCUCACUCUCCCUCAUGCACUCUCCUUUUCUUUUUCUUUCUUUUCCUCUGUUUUUCUUCUGUUUGUGUCUUCCUCAGCAAGCCAGUCGUAUCCCGUCCAAUCUGCCCCCCAAGAGCCGCCCACUUCAGUCUCCUUUUUCUCUGCCCCAAAAACAACCCCUGACCAUCAUGUCGAGCGGCUCCUCAAAAAAGGUAGGAAAAAGAAAAGACAUAAAAUAAAUCCCAAGAAAAAAACUCUGCCUCCGGGGGGUCUACAAUCUCAUUGUUUUAUAUAUAUAUAUAUAUAUAUAUAUAUAUAUAUAUAUAUAUAUAUAUAUAUAUAUAUAUAUAUAUAUAUAUAUAUAUAUAUAUAUAUAUUUAAAAAUUUUUAAAAAUUUUUUUGUAAAAAAAAAAAAAUAUAUAAAAAAAUUUGUAAAAAAAAUAUGUGUAAAAAAAAAAAAAAAAAAAAAAACAUCAUUUGUAUGUUAUAAAAAAUAUUUUUUUUUUAUUUUAAACAAAAAAAAAAAAAAAAAAAAAAAAAACCCCACACUUUUUGUGUAUGAUUAUUUUUUUUUAUUUGAGAAUUUUAUUUAAAAAUUUUUUAUUUUUUUUUUUUGUUUUAAAAAAAAAAUAUUUUAUGUAUAAAAUAAAAAAAUCAGAUUGAAAAUUUUCAAGACCAAAUUUAGUAUCUUAGAUCUUUCCCAAAAAAUUUCUAUUUAUAAUGUUUUGAUUAUAUAUAUAUAUAUUGAUUUAUUUUAGGUAUAUUAUAUAAUAUAUUGAAAAAAUAUCUUAAAAAUAUUUUNNNNNNNNNNNNNNNNNNNNNNNNNNNNNNNNNNNNNNNNNNNNNNNNNNNNNNNNNNNNNNNNNNNNNNNNNNNNNNNNNNNNNNNNNNNNNNNNNNNNAUCAUGUCGAGCGGCUCCUCAAAAAAGGUAGGAAAAAGAAAAGACAUAAAAUAAAUCCCAAGAAAAAAACUCUGCCUCCGGGGGGUCUACAAUCUCAUUGUUUUAUAUAUAUAUAUAUAUAUAUAUAUAUAUAUAUAUAUAUAUAUAUAUAUAUAUAUAUAUAUAUAUAUAUAUAUAUAUAUAUAUAUAUAUUUUAAAAUUUUUAAUAAUUUUUUUGUUAACUAAAAAAAUUAUUUAGAAUAAUUUGUCAAAAAACUACGUGUAAAAAGAAAAAAAAAGAAGAGAACAUCAAUUGUAUGUUAUGAAAAGUAUUCAUUUUUUACGUUAAGCAGAAGAAAAAAAAAAUUAAAAAAAAACCCGACACUUUUGGUGUAUGAUUAUUUUUUUUUAUUUGAGAAUUUUAUUUCAAAAUUCUUUAUUUAAUUUUCUUGUUUUAAUUAAAAAAUAUUUCAUGUAUAAGAUAGAAAAAUCAGAUUGGAAACUUUCAAGACCAAAUUUAGUAUCUUAGAGCUUUCCCAAAAAAUUUCCAUUUAUAAUGUUUUGAUUUGAUAUUUAUGUAUUGAUUUAUUUUAGGUAUAUUAUAUAAUAUAUUGGAAAAAUAUCUUAAAAAUAAUUUAGAUUCCUUAAUCCAAUUAAACAGAAGAAUACAUAGUAUCUCCAAAAUUAAUGCCUCUAAUAUAUUUACAAAAUUACUCCACCAAAAUUUUUUGUCUCAAAUUAUUAUAAAAAAAUUGUUUUUUUUUAUUCAUUGUAAAGCAAGAAAUAAUUAUUAAUUGAAAUUAAGAGUUCAGUUUUGAAUAGAGGGUUUUCUUAGGGUACAAUUAUUAAAUAGGUUAAAUGAGUUAAAUGAUGUAUUAUCUGUUUAAUAAUUAUGUAAUAUUUUGGUUUAUGUUUUUAAUACGAUUAUUAUUUAUAUUGGAUUUAGAUUGAGCUAUGUAGUAUAAUACCUAGGUUUUGACAUGAUAUUAACACGACCCAUAUUUAAUUAAUUUCUUAUAUUUUCCUACAUAUUUAACAAACAUGUAGUAAUACUAACCAUGCAAAAUUGCAAUUGGGUUGUAAGUAACAAAUUUUAUUAUCCUUCCAAAUGUACAUUCACCUUAGUUACCAUUUUUACACACGAUAUUAUUGAUCAAGUCACAAAUCGAAUAAAUACGAAGCGCCAUGUACAUAAAUAAAUUUAAUUUAAAAAACAUAAAAAUAGGUUAUGAACAUUUUAAGUUCCCAUCGUAUUUUUAUUUCAUAAAACAUGAUAGAUUUGUUUGGAAAGUAUUUUUGAAAAUAAUUUUUUAUCAAGUUGUAAUAAUUUUUUUUUUUUAAAUAAAUGAAAGUACAUUGAAGACAAUAUUAGUAUUUGAUAUUAGAGCCACAUUCAUUUUAAAAGAAAAAUUAGUAUCCGUAAUGCUAACUCAAAAUAUAUCAUUGGAAAAUCUAAAAAUGCCCAUACCAUUCAAAUAAUAAUAAUUAACCAAAAAUAAAAAAAUAAAAAAUUGAAGGCAAAUUGGUGCUUUACCUUUACUUCAUUUCUCCAACUCCAGGCUUCAUCGUCUGUGUCAGCAGAUUUGCCUCAACUUAAUGGCAAUCCUGAAUAAGAAAUAUUUAUAAAGAGAUUACUUUAAGUCGAUCUCUGUACAAUUGAAGAAUGAAAUUCUUAAAAUUUUAGACUCAAAUACCCGAAUGGAACUGAGGAUCCCUGGGUGCCCAGAAAAAUGGAGGUUCUAUGGAAGCCUCAUGAGGAGAUGACUUCGCCAUCCAUAACUACGUAGGGGAUAUGAGCAAUCUUGGGCCAUUCUUUCCCUUUAUCCCUUUGGCACCGUUUUAUCAGCAGAGGACAAUCACGAAUCAGGAGAAUAGAGAGGGAGGAGGGCAGCCCCUGUGUCGGAAAGGACUUUAACUUAAAACACUUAUAAAGCCGGAGUGUUUGAAGAGAAGUGAGGUUUUGAAGCCUCAGAUUGUCCAGGGAUUUCAGAUCUGGAAAAUUAAGAAUCUGGAGAGAGAUGAGAGUGGAGGGCAGCAGCAGCCACUCUUCGAAAAAUGACUCCGACCCUUCUUCUGUAUCUCCAGAGAUACUCAAUUUUCUAAGGGAGGGAAGUGUUUGUAUGCCCCAUUCCUUCUGAGAUUCCAUAAGCUUGUAGCAGUUCCAUAUCUCAAGUGAAGAUAGAUUAGUCGGCAAACCCCCUUCCGGAAAUGAAACAAUUUCUGGACAAUCAUAUAUCUCCAAAUCUUCAAGCGAGGUAAGGAGGGUGUGCAUCCGUUGGGGCAGUGACUUAAGCUUGUUGCAAUAUCCUAUCCGAAGUUGUCUCAGGUUGGAAGCUGGCAAUCCUCCUUGUGGAAAAGACACCAGAUUCGGGCAAUCCUGGAUGUGUAUGCUUGGGAGAGAUGUGAGAUCCAUGUUGUGAAGUCCAUCUGGAAUGUCAAGGGACUCCAGAUUUGUACAACCCCAGAUAUAAAGUGUCUCAAGCUUUGUGAAGAAGGCUAAUGGAAAGUACGUGAGAGAAUCACAACUUCCAUCAAUAUGUAAACUGGUAAGCCAAGGGUAAUAACUGUGCGUGGUCUCCUCAGGAAGGGGUAACUCUACUUUCCCACACUGCUUGAUUUCAAGUGAUUUCAAUGAAGAGAUGCUGGGGAAGGACGUAAGAGAAUCACAUUCUUCUGUAGACAACUUCUGGAGACGGGUAUUAUUUUGAAUCAUUCCCUCUGGUAGGGUCUCUAGAAUGCCGCAUUUUUUUAUUUCAAGGAUUUCAAGCAUGGAGGGCAGCCCCAUCUCUGGAAGAGAGGAAAGAUUCUGACAUUCCUUGAUAACCAACUUCCGAAGAGACGUGAGCUUAUGCAAAAUCGGUGGCAAUUCCACUUGUAUGGAGCAAAUAUUACUCACUUCCAACUCAGUUAGUGAAGGCAUAUGGACAGCACUUCUCAAUACUACCUUAUCACAUUCUUUUAAAUUCAGAUGCUGAAUGGACGGAGCCUUUGGAAGCUGACACACCAGUUGCCCACAUUCUAAAAUUACCAGAUUUGUUAGAAGAGGAAGGUGCUUGGGCAAAUCCCCUUUCAGCUUUGCACAACACUCAAUGUGGAGCUCAUUGAGACAAGGGAACUCCCCCCCUUCGACUCCAAAACAAUCCCAUUCCUCCCACUCUGACAUCUCCUUGAACACCAGAGUCUGCAGGCUUCCAAAUGGCUUAAAUGAAGAAGGCCCAUUCCCAUAAAACUCCUGCCCCACCUUUCGCAGAACAUCAUUCUUCACAAUGGACAGGUUCUGGAGAGACCGUAGCUGUCCAAGCGGUGGCAAGGAUGCACAAUUUUUACAGUUAGAGAGUUGUAGACUCACCAUGUUGAUGAAUGAAGGGUCCCCUAACCAGCUUGGAAAUUUCGCACCAUAGUAGCAUCCAAUGGAGAGUUCUUUCAGGUUGUCAUGAGGCUGCAGCUUUUCCAGCACACUUGCUGCAUCUUGUGAAUCACCGGCAAUUGCAUUAUCAUCUUCCCAAUUCAAUUCUAACUUGUCAAGGCACUCCUUACGCUUCAUAUUACUCUCCAAGGCAUCUCUAGCAUCCACCACAUUUUGCAACUUGAAAAUGGCAAGUGUACCACUAAGGUGUGAAAGGUCCCUCAAUUCCCCAACUCUUGAUCCUGUAUGCUUACUGACAACAAAAGUAGUCAACGUUCGAAGAUUUUUCAUUCUACUCAUUUCCAUUGGCAUCCUUUCUAGCUUAGUCCCAUCGAUUUUGAGAUGACGUAAGUUGAUUAGUCUUCCCAUUUUUGUCGGCAAUUCAACAAGAUAUUCACACCAUGAUAACAUCAAAGUUUGCAAGUUGAAAAGAGUUGUUAUUGAUUUAGGUAAUGUUCUAACUAAAUUAUGAGAGAGGUCCAAAUAGCGUAGGUGUUUCAAAUUUCCAAUCGAGUGAGGCAAGUCUUUGAUGCCAUAGUAAGUCAAAGACAAAACCCGCAAACACAUCAAUGUUGACAACAAACAAUGUGAGACCUCCUUGCUUAAAUAGAAAUUAGGAAUACCAUGAGUACCAAGAGACUGUGGUAGGAAGGUCUGUAGAUUAUGGUCGUCAAGAAAUGAUUUAAAUUUCUUGGAGGCUAUGCCUUGUUGCCAACUAUAUGAAAAAUGUCGAAUCUCCUUAGAAAUUUUAUUUUGCUUUUCAUCCUCCAACCUACAACAAAAUCUUCCUGAUAUAAAUUGUGCUAAAUCAUGGAUCAGAUCAUGCAUCACAAAUACAGAUUCAUUGUAAUAAUAUCGUUGAAAGAACGACCUUGACAAUAGAUUAUUGAAACAUAUGUUACCAAACUCUUCUACAGUUCCCUCUCUUUUAGAGCUAUCUAAGAAGCCUUCCGCCAUCCAUAACAAUACUAACUUCUCUUUUUCAAACACAUAAUCCUUAGGGAAUAUGGAACAAUACGUAAAACAUCGCUUCAAUUUUGGAGGGAGAUAAUAGUAACUCAAGUUCAAAGCAGGAAGAAUAUUACUUUGGUCAUUUGGUAAAUCCCAUAUUUCGUUGUUUAAUACGUCAUUCCAAGCAGUGCUAUCUUGUUUAGAGCGUAAUAAACCUGCAAGAGUCUUCGCUGCCAAAGGUAAGCCUUUGCAUUUUCUUGCUAUCUUCCUACCAAUUGAUUCCAAGUUUUGGCAUACAUCCGAAUUUAGAUUUUUGAAGGCUUGUUGUGCAAACAAUAACCAACAUUGUUCAUCAGUUAGUUGAUGAAGCUGAUAAGAAGAAGCCGUUGUUCGCAUAAUUGAUGCCACAUUUUCAUUGCGAGUUGUUACUAAGACCACGCUGCCUCGUGCUCCGACAUUAAAAGGAGCUUGUAGGACAUCCCAAUGGUUGGGAUUCUCGUUCCAUACGUCAUCUAGAACAAGGAAAAAUCUUUUCUCCUUCAUUUCAUUUUUCAAUUUUUCUUGAAGCAAUUCCAAGGUUUUAAAUUCACAUGGACGUUUCGUGAUGGACUCAAGAAUUGCUUUUGUUAUUCCUACAACAUCAAAAUCAUCAGAAACACAAACCCAAACUCUCAUAUCAAAACGGUUCUCCACCCUGCCAUCAUUGUAGAUGAUCUGAGCGAGGGUUGUCUUUCCAAUCCCGCCCAUGCCUACCAUGGAAAUGACAGAUACUCUAUCGCAUUUGGUUGCUUCAUCUGACAGCAUCAAUUCAAUGAUCUUCUCCUUAUCAGCAUCCCUACCAUGAAUACGAGACUCAUCUACUAAAGAAGUAGUCUGUAACCUUUCUUCAAUUCCAAACGACACCCCUCGAACACCCUCCUUUAGAUGAAGGUCAACUCUCCGUUUGGCAAUUGCAUCUAACUCCCUUGUGAUUUUGUUUAUUUUUUCACCCAUCUUUUUGUUAAAGGACAUAACUCUAGGAUCCAAAGCACCACAAGUUGGGAUGAGCUUGCGUACCUUACUUGUGCAGGCUUGAGGGCCUUCUGUCAAACUCCUUUGCUUGGCUUCAAUAUCAAACUCAUCUAUCACAUCUUCAAUGUCAUAAGCCAAAGAUUUGAGGUCAUCCAGCCAAACUUUCACUGCUUUCUCCCUGAUCUGCUUGUUCUCAGCAUCACACAGCACUGCUUCAAUAUGGGUCAACGUCUUCCUCCAUUCUUCGAGUGUUCUGUCAAUUUUUUUCCGACGAGCGUAUUCUAACAGCGGGGAGGCGAUCAACUUAUCAAUCAACACACCAAGGAAGGAAGAUCCAAUUGCCUCAGCCACAAACAUACUUUCAGUAAAUUGGAGAGAGCAAAAGAGAUAGAAGGGAAAGUUUCCACAGAUUGUAAGAUUGUUGUUGUAGUGAUUUAAUACAUUUAAUUACACAAUUCCUGCAAUUCCUCUUUUAUUAAUAGUUUAAUAGUGGACCACAGGCGGCCACAUUAAGAAUCUUGUCAGCCACCAUUACUUUUAAAAAGAGGAAAAACAUACAGACUGCUUGAAAAAAAGAAAUUAAAAUUAUUUAAAAUUGGUUAUUUGGAAAAAAGUUUGUUGACAUCCAACUCAUCUCACCCAAUUUCAACUAAAAUUUAUUAGUCAAUGACUCACACCAAUAAAUAUAUUAAAGCCCAUGUUAAAUCUUACUUUCUUAAUUUAUUAGUAGACUUUCAGACUUUCUUAAUUUAUUAGUCAAUGACACGUAUGCCUUAUUUAAAAUAAAAGAAAAUGUUCAUUGACCUCUACUAAAGAAAAAAAGCAUGCUCAUCACUUUUGGAGAUGAUACUUCUUACCCAGUUAUUUGAGUAGAUAAAUAAUGAAGUUGUGAAGGUGGAAAUUAAAAAUGAGCCCAUAGUUUUCACAUUGCAAUUCAUCCUUACAUCUGAGUUACCAAAUUUUUACUUGUGUCCUUGGCCCUUCACCCACAGAGAAAUUGGACUUUAGUAGACAAUGAAUAAAAAACUCUAGAAGUAAUUAAAUAAAAAAACACAAAAUUGAUGUGGAAAACCCUCCAAUAAUGAAGGGAAAAACCACAGGACAAGCUGAUAAAUAAUUCACUACAGCAAAAUAUAGGAAUUACAAUAUUAAUUCUCACGAGUUCUUUAAAAACAAAAAUAAAUAAAUAAAUAACAGUAAAAAACUUGAGAUAUAAUAAUUUUUGAGAAAAUACAAAUAUUUAAACUUGCAAAUAGGAGAAACAAAAUAAUGCAAAAGCUUGGGCUGCAAUUGUCCAGAAAGAACAAGCUUCAAAUUUCUUUCUUUGAUUUUCCUUGGGGGAUCACAAUCAUGAAAGCUCAGCACUGACAUCCUCUGAGUUGGACUCUGUUUGAAGAGCCAUAGGUCCUAGAAUUCCCCUGUUUUUUAUGCCAUCAACUGGUAAAGAAGUCAUCAUAUGGCACAUGCUGAAGCCCAUCCACUUUAGAUAUGGCCAUGAAUCUUCAACCACCAGUAAACCAUACUUCAUGACUCCAUUCAAAUUAUAACUAGGAAGUAAUUGUGUUGACGGUGGAAACACAAUGGAAUGAAAAUUACAGCCUACACAGUAGAAAAAACCUAUCAAGUUUACUCAACAAUCACAAAGGAAAACCAUCAAUUGUGAUUGAGGCCAAUACCGUACCACAAUAUGAAUAGGCCAAACUUCCUGCUACUGCUCUAAACACCCCUCUCUUAGAUUUAUAAACUUUCAGCAAAAAGCUUGCUUGAUGUGUAUGGACCAUUCCUACUCGAGACACAUGUGUCUUAAGCAGUCUUGAACCAAAACUGAUGCCAUGAUGGGGCCAAACCCUCUUUUAGAAAUUGCAAGAUAACUGAACAAUCGAGAAUCGACCUUGACAAUGAUUCAACAAAUGGGGAAGAAGAAGGUAAUCAAAAUAGUAAAAAUUUAAAAAUAAAAAGUAGAAAAUGGGAAAACCUUGAGUAGUGCAUAUUUCGAUUUAGAACCAUUUGUAUUAAGAGGUUGCACUUAUAACUUAUGGGUUUUGAAAUAAAACUUUUUCCAUUUUCUUUCUACAUAUAUCGAAAACUACAAUAGAAUCAAGUAGAAACUGGGUUUUAGGAUAAUAAGAGUUUUGAUGUGAAUGGCACUAUGGGAGUACCUUGAUAGUGGGAUGAUCUCUGCUUCCAUUUAUGUGAUUGGAAAAUAAAAUUCAAUGUAAAAUUGAUUCAGAUGUGAAAAGCCUAUUGAUGCAUUUUCCACCAUCUUUGUCCUUUAAAGAUCAUGCAACUAUGACCAACCUUUUCAUGCUUAUAUAAUUUGUUUGUUAUUAAUUAUGAAAGACUUGUUUUGAUAAAUUUUAAGGGCCACCUGACUUGUUCAAUAAAACUCAACCCAACAACAAAAACAUAUGAGUUCGAAUGGUUUGGUAAGUGUCCCAAAUUCCUAAUUAAUAUAAAUUUCUUUUUGUAAAAAAUAUUAUGUAUAAUAUUUCUUUAAUUAAUAUAUCAUUGUAAUAUUAGAUUUUUUUAUAGAAUAAAAAAAGUUAUUAGGAAUAUCUUUAUAAAUAUUCUAGGUCAUAAGGGGAAAAAGUUAUGAAGUGGAGAUGAGUUUGUAGCUAAGGAGUAUACGAAGUGGAUAGAAAUACGAGGAAGAAUGAGAGAUAUCUGGUAGAGCGAGGAGACUUGUGGUUUAGGGUGUGGAUACAAGGAUUGGAGAAACAUGGGAUGUUUCGAGAACCCAAUAUUUGUAUCCGGUUCUGUCCUUUAUAAUAUUCUCUAUUAUAUAAUGAAAAAAAUUCUUUUAUCCAUGGAUGUAGGCAUGACUAGCCGAACUAUGUUUAUAGUGAGAUGAGAAAUACCUAUGAAUUAACUUACCAAUUCAUAUUAUAACAAAAGACUUGUCAAUUGAACUGAUCUGCCAAUUUUCCCUUCAAUAAAAUAAAAUGAUAAUAUUGUCAUUGUCGUUACAAGCAUCAUCCUCAUCAUUCUCAUCACGAUUCAUUAUUAUCUUAGUCUUCAUUUACAUAUAUUACUUGCUUUCUAUUUUUAAAAUAAAAAAUAGUAGUAACUUUUAUAUAAAAUACAAAACUCUUAAAGACUUACAUAGAAAAAGUAGCAGUUUUAAACUUAUUUUAAAAAGUUUUGGUACUUUUUUAAAAGUGAUUUUUAGAGACAUAUGAUUACUUUUAUAUAAAGCUUUUGAUCUUAAAAAUAGAAAAAUGGGAAGUGUAUGCAACCCUUGGAUUCUUGUAAAUGAAAACAUAGUCCUCACAAAGUGGAUCUAGCAGUAACAAUGUAAUUCAACCUAUCUAAAAGAAAUAACAAUAAGAAUUAAAUGAAGAAAUAAAUUAUGAAAGGAAAUGGAUAAAUAAUGUUAGAUUCAUGAGUGGCAAGAAUAUGAUCUACAUAUCAGAAAGAUUAAUAGAGAAGGCAACUACAAAAUCUGAUUAAAAAAAAAAAAGAGUUUGCCCUCAUCUAGAGCCAUCAGUAGUAUGUGAGUACUUUUUAAAGUUAAAAAAUGAUAAUAGAAUUAUAGCUUAUAGUGAAAUAGUAAAAAAUAGAUGUGUAGACCCCCAUAUGGGGCUCGUUUUUUUUUUUUCAUUUGCUGCAGGUCACACUUCUUACCAAGUGGAGGGCUCUUAAAGAGCCAAAUGUUGCUUCCUGGUUGGGUGGUCAGUGAACCAGGUAGUGGUUUGGAAAUGCAAUGGGGUGGAGACACCUGUUGGAGGAGAUUCGGAGGAGCUUUUUGGUUGUUAGAGAGGAGCUUUUUGUCAGGAGGGGGGAACGGAUUUUUCUUGGUUUGGGAUUACAUUUUUUAGAGAGGGUAGGGGACCCCCAGCUGAGAGCUUGAUGUCGUCUGCAUGAAGCGUGCAACAACAAUGAGGGUAGUUGGGCAGGCCAUACUGGCUGAUGCAUGAACAGGAGGAGGCAGGUGGUGACUUGCUAAGGAAGGUGAUUCCAAGAAGCGGAAAAGAGAGAGAAACAUAGAAAAAAAAAAUGAGGCAGAAAAAAAAGAGGGGGAAGAGGAGAGGAGAGUUUAGCUUGAGAGGACUAGUGGGAAAGAGGCAUUCCGGGGCUGGUUGCUUGAGAGGAAGGAUAGUUGUCCGAUUUCUUGCCCACCUAGCUAGAGAGAGUUAUUUUGAGUGGUUUAGUUUGCUCUGGUUUUGAUUUCUCCAUGAGAUAUUUUUGUAACUACGUUUUACUUUUCAUUUGAUACUCAUUUAAUCUUACCCACCAUCAUCUAAGCCUGUUGGUAUGAUAUGAAGCAUAGCUUGUCGGGCUCAUUUUCUUGUAUCUACUCUUUGUGCUCUAUUUUGUUAUCCUCCUCUGCUCUUGAUAUCCGUCCAUGGUACGCAUCCAUUUUCUCAUCCCUGCUUGAAGGAGAUCCUAGAAAAUCUGGAGUAGUUGUCAUGGCAGCAAAGCUCACCUCAUCAGCAUCCUCAUACCCAUUCUCGUUUAUUAUUCAUCGUUUUAUCCAACAUGCCUACGUCCCCAUCCAUCACUCCACUCCUAUUCCCGUUUAUCUUCAUCAUGUGUAAACCCCCACGCAUCUCAUACCGGGAGGUGAUGUCUCAAGAUGAUGUAGGAAGCUAAUAUUUGAAUUUGUGGAAAGAAGGGCAGAUUUAGUAGUCUCAUGGGAAUACUAUGGCAUGAGUGUGGGAUCCUCCCUAAAAAUUGCUGCGUGGCUUCCUCUCCCUGGGACACGCAGACGGCCCCUUGCGACACGUGGCAUCGCUCAUUCCACCCGGGUAUCUCACAUCCGGAAUUCUUCUCCGUCGACAUUCCACUCGGAUAUCUCACAUCCGGAAUUCUUUCCGGCCGACGUUCAACCUUCUCAGGAUAUCUCACAUCCGAAAUUCUGUCCAGCCGACGUUCAGCCUUCUUUGGAUAUCUCACAUCCGAAAUUCUGUCCGGCCGACGUUCCACCUUCUUCGAAUAUCUCACAUCCGGAAUUCUGUCCGGCCGACGUUUAACCUUCUCCGGAUAUCUCACAUCUGGAAUUUUGUUCGGCUGACGUUCCACCUUCUCCGGAUAUCUCACAUUCGAAAUUCUAUCCGGCUGACGUUCAACCUUCUCCGGAUAUCUCACAUCCGGAAUUCUGUCUGGCCGACGUUCCACAUUUUUCUUCAUCCUUAAAGCAUUUUCUUGAGGUUCCCAAGAUCUCAUUUUCAAUAAAUUUUGCCGCCAUUUUCUUCUCGGCAUGUAACUCUAACAACUUCCAUGAUUUUAAAAUGUUUUAAAAUAAGUGUGAAUUUAUUUUCGUAAUUCUUAGUGAUAGAAUUUGUGAAACUGAUUCACCCAAUAGUAAACGGGCUUUGGUGGGGGCCCCACAUAUGUGACUGAUCAAUUGAUUGACUGACUGAUUGACUUGAUUAUCAUACAUAAUUGAUUUAUCCUGCUCUUUGAUACGUAUGCUAUUGUUUCUUAAUUGAGCACUAACCUUCCUUUUUGAUAGCGCAUGGUGGCUCACUGCCUAGGUACGUACCCACUUUCACUCUGAUCAGUGUCUACGCAUGUUCUGAUUUUCACAUGUGCAUGAUUUAUUCGGGGUAUCCAUUGAUUUACUCAUCAAUUUCCACGUCAGCUUCAUUUUAUUAGUAAAGACCUAACUUUAGGGGUUUAGAGGGGUGCUACGGUCUUUACCGUACCUUCCCAAUAAGUAACCUGACCCCUGAACCCGAUCUGAUUUUUCGUAGACCAACCUUUUCCAAAACAAGGAGUCACACUUAGGGUUUUUCUUUCUUAUUUUAUUUACCCUUUAAAAAUAAAACAAAAAUAAGUGGCAACUCCAAGUCAUUUUUUUUAACCAAUUAAAUCAUUUUUCAAAAUAAAAAUCGAGCUCUCCAUCGAGUGGGAAGCACAUGAUCCGAAAUGCGGGGUCCACAAGAUGUCUUUCAAGAAGUUUUAAGAGUUGUAACACACUAAUCUUCACUUGUUAGCACAAAUACGUUUUUUAUGCUUGACAUCCAAAUUAAUUUGGAUUUUCUUUGGCUAAAAAUCGAACAAGCUAGAAUUUUUGCAUCUCUUUAAAUCUUAUAGAGACUUAGAAUAAAUAAUUUAGACUUUAAAGUUAUGUUUAGUUCUUAAAAAGCACAAAAAAGAAAAAAAUUGUUAAGAAAAAUAAUUUUGUUAUAUUUGAUUGUAUUAUGAAAAUACCAAAGAAAAUAAAAUAUAAUUAAAACUAGGUAGAAAUUCAUGCAUUUUCAUAUUAUUUAAUCUUUAUAUCCAAGAGUUAAAAUGAGUAAAAUGAGUUUAAAGUAACAUAAAAAAUAAUUUAUUGACUUUGAAGCUAGUUUUUAUUUUCUUUCACUUUUCCUUUCUUUCUGCUUUUUUUUUUUUUUUUUCUAUUUUCUUUUUCUUGCAUUUUCCCUUAAUUUUCCUCAAAACCAAACAUAGCUUAACAUUUUUGAACUUCCGAGUGAUGAUGUUCCUCGUAGAUAUGAUAUGUUAAGUUUUAGUAAAGACGUUUGGAUAAUGUUGGUCAAUGCUUAAGAUAGGGAAGAAACUUUUUUUGUUUUUAUGUUUAUUUUUUUAUAUGUGAAAGUUGGAUUUUUUUUUAUCAUGAGGAGCAAGUGAUUUGUUCACCAAUAUAAACUUAUUUUGAAUAUUAUCAAUAUAUAAAAAAAAAUUGAAAACUUAUAAAAUAAAGUUAAUACCAUUAUUAUUUAAAAAAAAAGGUAUAUAAUGAUUAGAUAAUUCAAUAAAAAGAAAAUAGAUUUUGUUGGUUUCCCCCUUUACACUAGAAUGAAAAUUCUUGAACAUGAAAAUAGAUGACUAGUACAUUAUAAUACAAAUGUUAUUUCAUUAUCUAUUAAUUUAUAGUUUAGACUUGAAUUUUUAUGUUAAAUCAUUAUUUCAAACCUUGGGCCAUGAAAAUUAUAGGUAAUUCAUUUUUUUUUUUUGAAAAAUUGGAAUGUGAACGUCAUAAUGAAUUGAUUGAGAAAUAUGAAUGAAAAAAGGAAAAAAAAAUCAUAUAAUAAGGAUAUUUAAGGAAAAUAAAGGUCUCAUCAUCACUUAAAAACAUUAAAGAAAAUAAACUUCAUUGUUGUUCUCUUUCUCUGUUUUUUUAUUAUUUUUUCAUAACUUAGAAAAUGAAAUUUACCACAAAAGCAUAGAAGAUAGGCUAUUUAUUUAUUGCUUCAACUUUAUAUUCUUUUUUUAUUGGGAAACUGAUCAUAUUAAAGACUUUCACACAUGAUUUUACUAUCCUUUUGUAUACAAAUUGACGAUUAAAAGAUUUGUUGAUAGUUAACCAUGACUACCUUAUUCUAGAACUCCAAAAGUCUUAACCACACUUUUUAAGGACAACAUCUAAACACAUAUAUUAUUGUCAUAUAAUUAUUAUUUUUUUGGAAGGUAAUCUCUACUUAGGUGCUGGUGGAUCUACAUUUACACCAAUUCUCACUAGCAACUCAAGGAUUGUUUUCCCAAGGAUUUUGUGAUGCUAAUUGGGCUACUAGUGUAGAUAGAAAAUCCAUUAGUGUUUUUUGUGUUUAUCGUAGAGGGAACUUGAUACAUUGAAGGUCAAGAAAAAAAAAGUGCUAGCAAGAUCUAGCAUAUAAUCUAAAUACUGAUCCUUGGCCAAAGUUACAAUAAGCGUUACUUGACUUUAAUCCUUGUUUAAAGAGUUAAAAAUUAAAAUUGAUGAUACUCUAAUUUUAUACUGUGAUAAUUUCAUAGUAGGUUCCUUGACUUCAAAUCCAGUGUUCCAUGUGAGGAAUGAGCAUAUGGAAAUUGAUGUGCAUUUCAUACAAGAGAAAGUCAUGCCAAAAGAGUUAAACAUGCAAUACAUUCUAAUAGAGGAGCAAAUAGUAGACUAUCUAAUCAAAUCUCUCUUAGAUGCAUGUUUUAAAAUAUUUAAAGACAAGCUCAUUGUGGUACAAUCUAUUAGAAAAUCAAGUAAAUAAGAUUUUUCAAUUCUAGUUUAACAAAACAACAUAAUUCCAUAAAUACUCAAAUAAUGCCACUAUGAGAAAGAUAAGCUUAUAUAGAUUGUUUAUGAAAUUGCAUCACUUUGUUUUGGUAUUGACACCUUAUAUCUUACCCCUUUUUACUCUCUAUAAUUCUUGCAUAAAUGAUGGGAAGCCUCACAAACUUAAGAGGAGUGGAGAAAGGCACUAAGAGCCCAUUUAUAUAAUGUCAAGUGACCUUACCCAUAAAGUGUCACAAAUGAAAACUUCCUACUAGAUUAUAUUAAUCCACCUGUUCUAAUCCUAUGUAAUAUAGAAUUUUAAUGCACAAUAAUUCCAACAUUCUCAUACUUGGGCAAAUGAUCACAUACUAACUUGAAACUUUUAUGGAUUCAAUAAGCGGUUACAUAAAAAUAAUAUCAUCACUACAUGCUUAUCGAAUGAAGUUACUGUUGGGCUUUGUGGAGCCUAGUUUUGUUUGAUCCGGUUUGACGACCUGACCCGAAUAAUAUUGCAUGACUUUUUAAUGAGAGAUUUAUUAAGGCCUGUUGGGCCCGUUUAGUCCAUUGUGGAACCACCUUUUGUAAUUAGGGUUUUUUAGUAUGGUGGGGUUGUCGUGCUAUAUAUAUAUAGAGAAUAUUGUAGCCACUAGGUUGUACUCUGUAUUCUUCCCUGAUAAUAGUGAUAUCCCUGCAACUCCGUGGACGUAGGCAAAUUGACGAACCACGUAAAUACUGUCUUGUGUGUGUGAUUGUUUUUCUUUGGCGUGUGUUUUCUCUAUUUUUUUUUGUUUCUCACGGGUUGGGAAUUCGGUUUAAUUCCCUACAACUGGUAUCAGAGCCUAGGGUUAGGUUUGAGUGGGAGCAAUGGCAGAGGAAGCAGGAAAGGCGUCUGGAAUAGAAAAGUUUGAUGGCACAUACUUUGCGUAUUGGAGAAUGCAGAUUGAAGAUUAUCUCUAUAGGAGGAAAUUGCAUCUGCCUCUUUUGGGGACAAAACCUGAGAGUAUGAAGGCUGAGGAAUGGGCGCUUCUUGACAAACAGGUUCUAGAAGUUAUUAGGUUAACUCUGUCUAGGUCUGUUGCACAUAAUGUUGUAAAGGAGAAGACCACAACAGAUUUGAUGAAGGCUUUGUCCGGUAUGUAUGAAAAGUCGUCCGCAAACAAUAAGGUGCAUCUGAUGAAGAAAUUGUUCAAUUUGAAGAUGGUAGAGAAUGCGUCAGUAGCACAACAUCUGAAUGAAUUUAAUACAAUCACAAAUCAAUUGUCGUCUGUAGAAAUUGAUUUUGAUAAUGAGAUUCGUGCUCUGAUCGUCUUGGCUUCUUUGCCAAACAGUUGAGAGGCAAUGAGGAUGGUAGUAAGCAAUUCUACGGGAAAGGAAAAGCUCAAGUACAAUGAUAUACGAGAUUUAAUUCUGGUUGAGGAGAUUCGCCGAAGAGAUGCAGGUGAAACCUCAAGAUCUGGUUCUGCCCUAAACCUUAAGACAAGAGGCAAAGGUAAUGACAGAAAUUGAAAUCGGGGUAGAUCAAAUUCCAGAAAUUCUAAUCGGAACAGAAGCAAAUCUAGAUCAGGCUAACAAGUACAAUGCUGGAAUUGUGGGAAAACAGGUCACUUUAAAAGGCAAUGCAAAAACCCUAAGAAGAAAAAUGAAGAUGAUUCUGCUAAUGCUGUAACAGAAGAGGUACAAGAUGCAUUACUUCUUACAGUAGACAGUCCACUUGAUGAUUGGGUUUUGGAUUCAGGAACUUCGUUUCAUACCAUUCCACACCGAGAAAUCAUACAGAAUUAUAUUGCAGGUGAUUUUGGUAAGGUGUAUUUGGCUGAUGGUUCAGCCUUGGAUGUUGUGGGUCUGGGAGACGUCCGAAUAUCGUUGCCCAAUGGGUCUGUUUGGUUACUGGAGAAGGUUCGACAUAUUCCUGACCUGAGGAGGAAUCUGAUUUCUAUUGGACAACUUGAUGAUGAAGGACAUGCAAUACUAUUUGUUGGUGGUACUUGGAAGGUUACAAAGGGAGCUAGGGUAUUGGCUCGUGGAAAGAAGACUGGUACUCUGUAUAUGACCUCAUGUCCAAGAGACACAAUUGCAGUUGCUGAUGCAAGUAUUGAUACAAGCAUAUGGCACCGUAGACUUGGUCACAUGAGUGAGAAAGGGAUGAAGAUGUUGUUGUCAAAAGGAAAACUACCAGAAUUGAAGUCCAUUGAUUUUGACAUGUGUGAAAGUUGCAUCUUAGGAAAGCAAAAAAAGGUGAGCUUCUUGAAAACUGGUAGGACACCGAAGGCUGAAAAAUUGGAAUUAGUACACACUGAUUUGUGGGGGCCUUCUCCGGUUGCAUCCUUAGGAGGUUCAAGGUACUACAUCACUUUUAUUGAUGACUCAAGUAGAAAGGUAUGGGUUUAUUUUCUGAAAAAUAAAUCUAAUGUAUUUGAAACUUUUAAGAAGUGGAAGGCCAUGGUAGAGACAGAAACAGAUUUGAAAAUAAAAUGUUUAAGGUCAGAUAAUGGAGGAGAGUACAUAGAUGGAGGGUUCAGUGAGUAUUGUGCUGCAUAGGGAAUUAGGAUGGAGAAGACCAUUCCUAGGACACCACAGCAGAAUGGUGUGACUAAGCGCAUGAACAGAACUCUCAAUGAGCGUGCUAGAAGUAUGAUGUUGCAUGCUGGACUACCAAAAACUUUUUGGGUUGAUGCUGUUAGCACUGCAGCUUACCUAAUAAACCGAGGACCAUCAGUUCCCAUCGAGUUCAGACUUCCUGAGGAGGUUUGGAGCGGUAAAGAGGUGAAGUUUUCACAUUUAAAAGUUUUUUGUUGUGUUUCUUAUGUUCAUAUUGAUUCUGAUGCUCGUAGUAAACUUGAUGCAAAGUCAAAAAUAUGUUUUUUCAUUGGCUAUGGUAAUGAGAAAUUUGGCUAUAGGUUUUGGGAUGAACAAAACAGGAAAAUCAUCAAAAGUAGAAAUGUGAUAUUUAAUGAACAGGUUAUGUACAAGGACAGGUCAACUGUAGUGUCAGAUGUUAUAGAGAUAGAUCAAAAGAAAUCUGAGUUUGUCAACUUAGAUGAAUUGACUGAAAGUACUGUCCAAAAAGGGGGUGAAGGAGAUAAGGAGAAUGUAAAUUUACAGGUAGAUUUGAGUACACCUGUAGCUGAAGUUCGCAGAUCUUCCAAGAACAUUAGACCUCCGCAACGUUAUUCACCUGUUUUAAAUUAUCUCCUGUUGACUGAUGGUGGUGAGCCAGAGUGUUAUGAUGAAGCCUUGCAAGAUGAGAAUUCAAGCAAGUGGGAGUUAGCCAUGAAGGAUGAGAUAGAUUCCCUAUUGGGGAAUCAGACAUGGGAACUGACUGAAUUGCCAGUAGGAAAGAAGGCUUUGCAUAACAAGUGGGUAUACAGAAUAAAGAAUGAACAUGAUGGUAGCAAACGUUACAAGGCCAGAUUAGUUGUUAAAGGGUUCCAACAGAAGGAGGGCAUUGACUACACAGAGAUAUUUUCUCCAGUUGUGAAGAUAUCAACAAUUAGACUUGUACUUGGAAUGGUGGCUACAGAAAACUUACAUCUUGAGCAGUUAGAUGUGAAGACAGCAUUCCUUCAUGGUGACUUGGAGGAAGACCUUUACAUGAUUCAGCUAGAAGGGUUCAUUGUUCAGGGACAAGAGAAUCUAGUCUGCAAACUGAGAAAGAGCUUGUAUGACCUUAAACAAGCUCCUAGACAGUGGUACAAGAAGUUUGACAAUUUUAUGAUAGAAUUGGGUUCAAGAAAUGUGAAGCUGAUUACUGUUGCUAUUUUAAGUCCUUUGACAAUUCUUACAUCAUAUUACUAUUGUAUGUGGAUGAUAUGCUUAUUGCAGGGUCUGACAUUGAGAAGAUUAAUAAUCUUUGCAGGGUUUGACAUUGAGAAGAUUAAUAAUCUGAAGAAGCAAUUGUCCAAACAGUUUGCAAUGAAGGAUUUGGGAGCUGCAAAGCAAAUCCUUGGUAUGAGAAUCAUUAGAGACAAGGCUAAUGGUACAUUGAAGCUUUCACAAUCAGAGUAUGUGAAGAAAGUUCUCAACAGGUUCAACAUGCAUAAAGCUAAACCAGUGAGCACACCCUUGGGUAGUCAUUUCAAACUAAGCAAAGAACAGUCAUUGAAGACAGAAGAAGAAAGGGACCAUAUGAGCAAGGUGCCCUAUGCCUCAGCUAUUGGUAGCUUGAUGUAUGCUAUGGUGUGUACAAGGCCAGACAUUGCACAUGCAGUGGAAGUUGUGAGCAAAUUCAUGAGUAGGCCUGGAAAGCAGCAUUGGGAGGCAGUCAAGUAGAUUUUAAGAUAUCUAAAGGGUUCAUUAGAUACAUGUCUUUGCUUCACAGGUGCAAGUUUGAAACUGCAGGGUUAUGCAGAUGCUGAUUUUGCUGGUGAUAUUGAUAGUAGAAAGAGUACUACUGGGUUUGUUUUUACUCUAGGUGGUACAACUAUAUCAUGGACUUCAAAUCUAUAGAAGAUUGUUACUUUGUCUACUACAGAAGCUGAGUAUGUUGCAACAACUGAAAUUGGAAAGGAGAUGAUUUGGUUACAUGGUUUCUUAGAUGAAUUAGGUAAGAAGCAGGAGAUGGGCAUUCUACACAGUGACAGUCAGAGUGCAAUUUUUUUUGCCAAAAAUUCGGCUUUUCAUUCAAAGUCGAAACAUAUACAAACAAAAUACCACUUUAUCCGUUAUCUUGUUGAGGAUAAACUGGUAAUACUUGAGAAGAUUUGUGGAUCUAAGAACCCUGCAAACAUGUUGACUAAGGGUGUCACUAUUGAGAAGUUGAAGUUGUGCGCAGCUUCAAUUGGUCUUCUAGCUUGAGGACAGGAGGAUGAGUUGUAGGGAUGAGGGAUUGUUUCUUGGAGGAUAGCGGUUUGAUGUUGGUGAUUGGACUAGUCUCCAAGUGGGAGAUUUGUUGGGCUUUGUGGAGCCUAGUUUUGUUUGAUCCAGUUUGAUGAUCCGACCCGAAUAAUAUUGCAUGGCUUUUUAAUGGGAGAUUUAUUAAGGCCUAUUGGGCCCGUUUAGCCCAUUGUGGAACCACCUUUUGUAAUUAGGGUUUUUUAGUAUGGUGGGGUUGCCGUGUUAUAUAUAUAUAAAGAAUAUAGUAGCCGCUAGGUUGUACUCUGUAUUCUUCCCUGAUAAUAGUGAUAUCCCUGCAACUCCGUGGACAUAGGCAAAUUGCCGAACCACGUAAAUACUGUCUUUUGUGUGUGAUUGUUUUUCUUUGGUGUGUGUUUUAUCUAUUUUUUUGUUUCUCACGGGUUGGGAAUUCGGUUUAAUUCCCUACAGUUACCAAUAUGGAUCAUGAUGGUAACAUAUCAUUUUAUCAAAUAUAAUUCAUUCCAUGCAUCACACAACCGGUAACUCAAUAUAGAUAGCCUAAAUGAGGAAGUAAUAACCUACAAAUAUCCAUUAGAUGAUCCUGACCUUUAUUUCAAAAAUUUGACAAUCCUAUUAACUAUUAUCUUAUAAAAUGUGCACAAGGGAGUAUGAAAUUAUAUUAUUGUAUGUUUAAAACAAUUAUAUAACAUCCCCUUAGAGUGAAUAUGUUUCCUUAAACUUAGGCACCAAAGCUUUUGUAAAAGGAUCUACUAUCAUCAUGUUUGUACCAAUGUGUUCGAUGGACACCUUUUGAAAUUAGACUAUUUCUUUAACCACAUGAUGUUUCAAUUUAAUAUGUUUUGAUUUACCAUAUCAUUUACUCUCAAAAAAGAAAACUAUUGAAAAAUUAUUGCGGCAUGCCUUAAUUGUCUUAGAGAUGCCAUAAUUUUGAGCCCUAAAAUAGUGUCAUAGCUAAGUAACUUGUGAAGUUGCUUAAUGACUUGCAAUAACUUCAAUUGCCAUUAUGGAAGAAGCAUUGAUAGUAUUGGUUCUAACAUGAUAAUUUAGUACAACCUUAUUGUAUGGAAAGUAGACUUUAGAGUUUGAUCAUGUUACCAAAGCAUAACUAUCCUCGAGGAAAAUAGAAGUUAUGGGCAUGUAAAUUCUAUACCUAGUAUGUAAGGAUGUGAGAGAUUGUUGGAAACACUUGGUAGAGUAAAUACUUACGAUGAAGUAGAUAAAAUUAGUAGGAAAAAUAUAGGAUGUUUCAAAAUUCAGUAAUUAUAUAAUUUUUUUAAUUCUUAUUAUCAUUGUCAUUUACAAUAUUCUUUAUGAUACUAACCAAAAUCAGUUUUUCUCAUUUAUACAUGUAGGCAUGAUUAGUUGAGCUAUGUUAGAAUUACAUAUACCUUUGUGUUCAUGAUUUUGUCUCUGUUUUCUUACACUCAUACAUAGCAAGUUAGUUAUAAGAGUAUUUUUUCAGUAUAACAAGUGAUAUCACAGUUUCUUCAAGUACAACACUUCACAAUAAUAACAUUUAAAAUAUUGUUCAUUGGUCAUAAAAGAAAUGGAUGGAAUCCCUAUAUAAUUUAGCAGAUUUAAUAGAGACCUAUGUCCAUUAUGAAAAAACCCAAAGCAUUGAAAUUUCGAAUUUAGGAAUCUAAAAUCCACAAAAAUAUAAAAAAUUGUAUAUGGAAUUAAUCAUGAAUAGGGUUGAAAUCAAUUCAAGUUGUAAAAUGAAUAAAUUGAAAUCUUCAUUAUGCCUUUGUUAUUUUUUUAACUUAAAUUAUUACUUUUAUAAUUUUAAUUUUUAAUCUAUUACUUUUUAUAUAUUAAAAAAACAUCAACACUUUUUAGCUUUCCAUUUGUUUUUAUUAUAAUUUAAAAUUACAUGCACAUAAAAAAAACCAUAUAUUUUUAUUAUAAUUUUUUAAAAGUAAACAUAAAUUAUUUUUUAAAACUGUUUUUUGUUGUAAAAAAAAAAAAAAAAAACACACACACACACUUUAUAAUAAAAAACAAAAAACAAAAAUUUUGUUCUUAAAUAUAGAAAAAUAAUGUGUCUUGAAAUAACAUCUUUUAGUUGUUAGUUUUUUUGGGGUGUUUUAAAAAUAAUUUAUAUAAAUAUGGUGAAUAAUUAAAAAUAAUCAAAGUAUGAUAUAAUUUUUAAAAAUAUAGAAAACGAAUUAAGAAUAUUUAAGCUCUUAAACAAACUCUUGUUUUAUAAGAUAUUAAAUAUUAAUUUUCAAAAAUUAUUUUCGAAAACGCUUUCCUAUUAGAGUUUCAAUUUCUUUCAUCUAUAUAUAUAUAUAUUAAUGAUAUGAGAUUGUUCAUUGUAUGUGCUUUUAAUUUAACUUCAAUAUAUAAAGUUAUGAAAAUUUUGUUAUUUAUAUAAUUCAUUUGUUUGCACAAAUUAUAUAAUAAGUUUAUGACUACUUAUUACUUAUUUUAAUUAAAUUAGUUCGUACUUUGAUUUGACUAAUAAAAAAAAUGAAUGAUUGGUAUUUAAAUAAUUUAUAUUUAAGAAUACUUAUGUUUUAAGGCUUUCAAUAAUAUGUUUAUUAUAUUUUAAACAAAAGUCUAUUUGAAAAUUUAGAAUAUUUUUAAUAUGUUUAUUAUAUUUUAAAAAUAAAUUUUAUUUAUAGUGUUUUAUUUUUAAUCAUUCUUUAUGUUUUUAGUAUUUUUUUUUAAAACAUUCCUUAAAAAAAACAAGUGAAAAUAAUUAAAUAUGUUUUAAAAAAAACACCACAUUUUUUGUUUUCCAAUUGUUGUACAUGUUUUCAUUCUCACUAAAAUAACAAGAUUAAAAUGGAUGCAUAACAAUUCAUUCUCACUAAGAAAAAUAAAAAUUUAAAAUGUUUUUUUUUUUUUUAAUGUAGAUGAUUUUGAUACAUAUUUGACAAUACCUUUGAAUAUAUUAGAUUUGUAGGUGUUUUUAGGUGGGAUACAUUCACUUUCUACUAAUACAUUAAUUUAAUAAGUAUAUGUUUCUUUAUCAACUUUUAAAUAAAUAAAUUUUAGUAUCAUUCUCUUCAAUUUAUUAUCUCUACUUAUAUCAUUCCAAUUUCUAUAAAUAAUAAAUAUGCCCUCACCUUUCAAAUCAUAACAAAUCUCUCUCUAAUUCAACACUUCAAUUCUUCAAAUUUUAGACUAAGUCAAAGUAACUGAUUCAAACUUGGCAUCCUCAUCAGUCCAUGACUUCGCCAUCCAUAUCUAUCCAAUGGAUAUGAGCAAUCUUGCGCCAUUCUUUCCCUUUAUCCCUUUGGCACCGUUUUUUCAGCACAGGACAUCCAUAAAUCUGGAGAGCAGUGAGGGAGGAGGGCAGCCCCUGUUUCGGAAAGGACUUUAACUUAACGCAGUUACGCAUCUCGAGUAUUUCGAGAGAUGUGAGGUUUUGAAGCCCCAGAUUGUCCAGGUAUUUCAGAUCUGGAAAGUCAAAAAUACUGAAAGAAAAGAGAGUGGAGGGCAGCAGCAGCCACUCCUCGGAAAAUGACUCCAACCCUCCUGUACCUCCAUCGAUAACCAAUCCUCUAAGGGAGGGAAGUGUUUGUAAGCCCCAUUCCUUCCGAGAUUCCAUAAGCUUGUAGCAAGACCCGAUGUCAAGUGAAGAUAGAUUAGUCGGCAAACCCCCUUCCGGAAAUGAAACAAUUUCGGAACAAUCAUAUAUAUCCAAAUCUUCAAGCGAGGUAAGGAGGGUGUGCAUCCGUUGGGGUAGUGACUUGAGCUUCUUGCAAUUGUCGAUACAAAGGUCUCUCAGGUUGGAAGCUGGCAAUCCUCCUUGUGGAAAAGACACCAAAUUCGGGCAAUUCCAGAUGUGGAUUCUUUGGAGAGAUGUGAGAUCCAUGUUGUGAAGUCCAUCUGGAAUGUAAAAGGACUCCAGAUUUGUACAAUCCCCGAUAUAGAGUGUCUCAAGCUUUGUGAAGAAGGCUAAUGGAAAGGACGUAAGAGAAUCACAACUUCUCCUUAUACGAAAAUAGGUAAGCCAAGGGUAGUAGUUUUGCGUGGUCUCCUCAGGAAUGGGUAACUCUACUUUCCGACACUGCUUGAUUUCAAGUGAUUUCAAUGAAGAGAUGAUGGGCAAAGACGUAAGAGAAUCACAAUCUUCUAUGUACAACCUCUGGAGACUGAUAUUAUUUUGAGUCAUUCCCUCUGGUAGGGUCUCUAGAAUGUGGCACUUUUCUAUUCGAAGGGUUUCAAGCAUGGGGGGUAGCCCCAUCUCUGGAAGAGAGGAAAGACUCUGACAUUCCUUGAUAACCAAGUUCCGGAGAGAUGUGAGCUUAAGCAAAAUCGCUGGCAAUUCCACUUGUAUGGAACAAAUAUUACUCACUUCCAACUCAUUUAUUGAAGGCAGGUGGACAACACUUCUCAACACUACCUCAUCACAUUCUUUUAAAUUCAGUUUUUGAAUGGACGGUGCCUCUGGAAGCUGACACACCAAUUGCCCACAUUCUAAAAUUACCAGACUUGUUAAAACAGGAAGGUGCUUGGGCAAAUCCCCUUUCAGCUUUGGACAACUCUCAAUACGGAGUUCAUUGAGACGAGGGAACUCCCCCCCUUCGGCUCGAAAACAAUCCCAUUCCUCCCACUCUGACAUCUCCUUGAACACCAGAGUCUGCAGACUUCCAAAUGGCUUAAAUGAAGAAGGCCCAUUCCCAUAAAACUCCUGCCCCACCUUUUGCAGAACAUCAUUCUUCACAAUGGAGAGGUUCUGGAGAGAUCGUAGCUGUCCAAGCGGUGGCAAGGAUGCACAAUUUUUACAGUUAGAGAGUUGUAGACGCAUCAUGUUGAUGAAUGAAGGUUCCCCUAACCAGCUUGGAAAUUUUGCACCAUAGUAGCAUCCGAUGGAGAGUUCUUUCAGGUUGCUAUGAGGCUGCAGCUUUUCCAGCACACUUGCUGCAUCAUGUGAAUCACCGGCAAUUGCAUUAUCAUCAUCCCAAUUCAAUUCUAACUGGUCAAGGCACUCCUUACCCUUCAU
rnacentral:lncRNA from 1 species